GUACUCACAUUUCCUAUUUGUAGCAGGUUUCUCAUCUACUCCCUCCGUUCCUAAAUGUAAGUCUUUUUAGAGAUUUCACUACAAACUACAUACGGAUGUAUAUGGACAGAUUUUAGAGUGUAGAUUCACUCAUUUUGAUCCGUAUCUAGUCCAUAGUGAAAUCUUUUAAAAAGACUUAUACUUAGGAACGGAGGGAGUAUAUAAUAAAAAGAAAAACAGAGACGACAGAAAACAGUGGUAAAAUAGGAAUGUCGAACAAAGCAUGCUUUCUGCACAAAACUAAACCGACGCCAAAUACGAGUUUACUAGAGAUCCAAAAGGUAAUCAGGCGUGCUUGCUCGCUCACCACAAAGACCAAAAUUGGAGCACGUAGGUACAUAUCCGUCCCGUUCACAGCAACAUGCGGUACAUUAUUGCUCGACUAGUCCUAAGAGCUUCAACCAUAGUUCAUUCCACAAGUUAAGACACGCCCACUUUCACAAAAACAAGUGCAGAGUGAUCAUGUCUCGGAUGCAGGUCCCAUCUAGUAUGGCUCCACCGGUGCGCGGAACUUGAGGCCGGCAUACACAGCGGCAGCGCCCAGCUCUUCCUCGAUCCUCAGAAGCUGUUCCAAUUGGAAAAGAAAUAACCCCUUAGUGUAAAUUUGGGAAACCGAACAAAGAAAAACAAGACAUGAUUGCUCAAAUAAACACAUUACAUUGAACAAAAGAAUAUCAGAAACCACUAUCAGUCUAACGCUAAACACAGAUGAGAAAUCAUUCUUAAAUGAGCACAUUGCAUCGAACAAAAGGAUAAAAAAGAAAGAAUAAUUUCUUUUUAGUAAUUGCAAGAAGUCUUGUUGGUCUAACAGAAUAGCAGUUCAAGAAUUACAGGAAAGCCACUUGCCUGGUUGUACUUGGCAAGCCGCUCUGAGCGGCAGGGAGCCCCAGUCUUGAUCUGACCCUGUUGCACAUGAUGAAACAUUGGUCAGUUACUCCCGAUCGAUCCAGAGGAGAAGAAACAGCUGUCACAUUAAAAUUACUCAAGACAAACAAUAAAAUGAAGAUCAUGAAAUCAUACCGUGGACAAACCAACAGCCAAAUCAGCAAUGAAUGUGUCCUCAGUCUCACCACUGCACACAGCAAAUGUACAUAAGCAUACAAAUGGUAAUAACAAUAGAAACAAGGGGGAAAACGGCGGGGUAACAAGGCGGUAUCUCUUAUGUACCUCCUGUGACUGGUCAUCACACCCCAGCCAGCAUGUUUCGACAUCUUCACGGCCUCGAUACUUUCAGUGACGGAUCCAAUUUGGUUAACCUACACAUGAAAAGGAUGAAACAAUCAGAUCAUAAUCCCUCCGAUCAGGUACUUAUUAUGGAUCGGAAGGAGUACUAUGACGACCAAAGGAGAAGAAUCAAUUAACAGCUUCUGUUUACCUUCAGCAGAAGAGCAUUGCAUGACUUCUCCUUGAUUGCCUUCGCAACUCUCUGCGCAACAUAAUUAUACAACAAAUUAACUGUAGUGAUCCAACAGAAUGAAAAUGCCCACCUACACAACAGAAAACAAAUCACUCACGGUUGGGUUGGUGACUAGAAGGUCAUCACCAACAAUCUGAACUUGCUCUCCACAUUCUUCAGUCAUCUUAGCAUAGUGCACCCAGUCAUCCUGGUCAAAUGGGUCCUCAAUCGACACAAUGGGGUACUCACUCACGAAUGACUUGUAUACAUUCUUCAGGCUAUCUCCAGAUAUCUUCUGGGAACCAUCGUUGUUCUACAGCAAGGGAAAGCAAUGUUAUAAAUGCUCAUGAAAAGAGAACAAAUUGUUACCACAAAAUAAACAAUGGGGCUGCUUACCUCUUCCUUGAAGUUGAGGUCAUAUGUUUUGUCCUUGUCAUUGUAGAACUCUGAAGCAGCAACAUCCAUUCCAAUGACAACCUAGAAUUUUCCAAAGCAACAAAUCUCCUUCAAUUACAAACUUAAAGGCUCAGUGAGAAGUGCACUACAACAGAUUAAUUCAAGCAGACAAACCUUGCCGGUGUAUCCAGCCUUUUCAAUUGCAGUCUUCAAGAGCUCAAGACCCUCCUUGUUCUCCUACAACACCCGAAAACAAAAAGAACUCAGAUGACACCCCACAAGCAUUGACCUCAAUUUAUAACAACACGGUAGUUCUAUACAUCCAAACAUGACAGUCAGCAACUGUUGUCAAAACACCAAGACAUAACAAAGCAAGGAAAUCUGAUAUUAAACCUCCAAGGACAGGGAAAUACCUGAAUGUUAGGAGCAAAACCACCUUCAUCUCCAACAUUGGUGGCAUCUUGCCCGUACUUCUUCUUGAUAACAGACUGUCACAGAAAAUGAUCCUUUUAGUAAAUUUACUUUUUACUACAUGAUAGCAAAGAGAAAAAGAAGAUGAAAGAAUUACCUUCAAGUUGUGGUACACUUCAACGCCCAUCUUCAUUGCCUCCUUGAAUGAGGCAGCUCCAGUAGGAAGGAUCAUGAACUCCUGCAGAUAUGCAAGUAUAGGCAUAAAUAACAUAUGUGCGAAAACAACAUGAAAGAUGUGAAAAUCUUAGUUCAGAGCAUUGCCUGCAUAGCAAGCUUGUUUCCAGCAUGGGAUCCACCAUUGAUGACAUUGAAUGCAGGAACAGGCAAAACCAAUUGCUUGUUGCCAGCAAGGUUGGCAAUGUGCUGCAGUGAAGAAUAUAUUCAUGUUGAAAGACUUUAGGCAAUAGCAAACAAAUGUAGAAUAUUAAAAGAGGAGAUCAGCAAUGAUGCACACCUGGUACAGCGGAAUCUUCUUGAUGCUGGCUCCAGCUUUGCAAAUAGCUAGUGACACAGCCAGGAUUGCAUUAGCACCAAGCUGAAUAUACAGAAGAAAUUGAGCUGUUAGAAGGGGACCUGCAUAUGGAUAUUAGCAUUGGCACCAAGUAAAACUCGUGGUGGAUUAUGUACUACCUUCUGCUUGCACCAACCCCAUUCGUUUUUGGUUCCAUCAAGCUGCUGAACCAUAAAGUUGUCGAGCUCAGUUUGAGCUGUAGGGUCCUGUAGAAGGAAAUAGAGCACUGAAUGAAUUAUGCAUUCAACUCUCAUAUCACAAUAGAGAAGGGGACAAUGCUAACCUUGCCAAUCAAAGCUGGUGCGAUAAUCAAGUUCACAUUGUCAACAGCCUGUGAAAGAAAAAGAGAAAUACAUGUAAAUACAAAGAAAAGACUAAAUUACGCAUGCACAUGGACUAUUCACUACAAUAGAAAAAACCAGGAUAGCUAUAGUGAAACAUAAAGACUAAAUGAUCCUGAGUUGUUUAUUUCAGGGCAGUAUAAAUAAGGAAAUAAGGCGUGCACAAGAGAUAUUGCCCAUGAUGAUUCAGUUCAUAAAUACAUAAUCCUAAGCUACUACAUAUAAUAAACGGCAAUGAGAUAUAAAAAAAUGCAACAACCUACCACAUUAACAUUAAGAAAACAUAUCAUAGUUCACAUUAACAUUAAGAAAAAAUCUACAACCUGGCACAAACUAGAAAUAUCAAGUUAUACAGCACAAGGAAACAUUGUAUGGAUGAAACCAACAUCAAAAAAUAACUUGUUCUCACAAACAGGAUAACUGAAAAGCUACACUAGCACUGUUUGGUCCAUUUGGCAUAAUAAUUUGGUAAACAAGUAGGAAAAUUUCAAAAGGUGACAAACAAUAUUGCUAGUGUAACAACAGCAUAGAGUUGAGGCAAAAGAACAUAUACAGCAGCCACAUCAGAGUUAAAGAACUAUGACAUAGAGUUAAAGAAUGUGAAGAUAAAGUUCGCUCAAAUGGAUGUAAACCUUGGAAACACCCUUUCCCAAGUAGUCAGAUCCACCGUCUCUCAGUUCCAAAGCUUCAUAAACACCUACAGAAGAGGGAAGAUUCAGACAAGAUUAGUAAAACAAAAACAAUACAAUAACAUUCCGUAAAUAAUGAUCCAAAUAAGAGUUUGUGCCUUCACUAGUCAGGAACUCAGGAAACCAAAGCAGAAACUUAAGGUUGAAAAGGAGAGAGUGAUGAUAAUAACAAAAUAACUCACCAGUUGAUGCACCGCUGGGAACAGCGGCCCUGGCGAAGGUUCCAUCUGAGCAGCACACAUCAACCUGAUGCACAAAACCAUGAGAUUAGCCAAAAUAGUUUACACUUUAGCAUUAUGCGUAGUUUAAACAAUAAAAUCCGAACAAUGUCGCAUUUCAAACAAAGCAUCAUGUUUCACCACAGCUGUAACUAGGACACAAACCAUAUACUAGCUACAUUUAGCUAUAUAUAAACGCAAAGCAGAACGACCAGCCAUCUGUGGAUACACACUGUGAAAACCUAAAACGGAUUCCUAGCAGGCAAAAUAAAAAAAAAUGUAUGCAGCCCAGCAUCUGACUGAACAAACCACCUUGCAUCAAAUCUACCAUAUCCUCCAGAAAAUAAAAGGCUGAUACACCCAAAACCCCUUCGACAACUCAUCAAUUUACAUUUUCGGCACAUUACUUUCCACACCAAGUACGGCCAUUAUGCACAGAUCAAACGAUGAACACUCGGCAACAACCAGGACACGAAACCAUAGUGGCCACAUAAACACCGGGCCGAUCUGCGAAUCCCUGAGACGCAUGACGACGUGCAGGCAAAAUAAACUAGCACGCGCCACCGCGGCCGGCCAAACAAACCACCUCGCAUCGAAUCUAGCACAUCCACAACCCAGGGAGUCUGGCCGAGGGGCAGCACUAAUCUGCAUCCUACCGGCCCGCCCGCCCAAAAACCCUCGAAUCUAGCGCGUCAGAAACCUACGGCCCGCGCCCCAGCAGCCCCGACCCACGGCCGAAUCACAAGAUCGAAACCAAGCCGCUGCUGCGUACGCCCGCCGCCCUACCAGAUCGAGUCGGACCGGACCACAACGCACAGAUCGGGGAGACGGACGGGAUGCGCGCGUACCUCGACGGUGGGGUUGCCGCGGCUGUCGAAGAUCUGGCGGGCCUUCACGGACUGGAUCGUCGCCGCCAUGGCCGGGGCUGUAGCUUGGAGAGGAAGAAGCCGAAAUAGAUCGAAACGAAUGGAGCGGAGGGCGGAGAAGGCGAGGAGAGGGGGCUUUAGGCAGGGCCGCCCGUUCUUUUUUAUAGUCGCGAGAUGAAAGGGAAGCGUCCCCCCGUUUUUAGCCGUGCCGCUGCUUGUGGGGACGAGGAAACUGGUGUGGGCGGCCGCACACGGGAUGGAUCGUCGAUGUGUAAUGAAUGCAUCGUAUCUACCGUUGUGUACUCCUCCCAAGCCCGUAUCGAAAACAAUACUUGUUCAAGGGGGCAAAAGAUUUCUCAUUAAUUAGAGCAUCUACAGCGGGACUCGGCAAAUCCGGCCCUUCAAAUGCCCGCGUCCGCGAGCAGUGAUCGGACACGUCUCAAAUUUCAACAUUUGCAUCCGGACAUCGCAUAUUAGAUUCUCAAAUCCAUUACAAACUAAAAUAAACCUAAGUACUGCGUCGAUCAACUAGCUACUCGUCGGAGGAGAUGUCGACGAUCUCCGUGCCGGGCUCGGGCGGCAGCGGCAGCUCCGCCUCCUUCGGCUGCUCCGCUCCGGCCUCCCCAGCCUCUAUCUCCGCAUCGAGUUCGGCGAAGAGCGCUUCGGACUCCGCAUGCUCCUGCUGGAGGAUAGUGCGGUUGGCCUCCACACAGGCCUCAUCCUGGAUGGACUCCAGGAUGGCUUGCUGCUCCGCCAUCUCGACAGACUGGGCGACGGCAAACUCUGCCUCCGCCUGCUCCAUAUUGAAGCCCGACAGCAGCUGCUCCGCCUCCUCCACCUUCAUCGGAGCCAACUCCUCCUCCCUCGGCUCCGACGAGUCCGGAGGCAGCCCGACAGCGAUGCCGGUUGCGCGCGCGGCUUUUCUCGUCCGGAUCUCCUGCUGGAUCUCGACGCGACGCUCCGACGUGAGCACUGCGUAGUAGGUUAUCUUACUCCGGACCAUGGCAGACCACUGGAGCAUGGGCAGAGCGCCAGAGCAGGAGAGGGAGGAGGUGGAUGGGCUUGGACUGGCGGCGCGGAGAGGGGAAGGUGGAUGGACUAGGGUUGCGGAGCUCCGGCCGAGUUAAAUAGGCGGAUUUUCUCUCGGCGGCGAGUCGAAGCGGCGCCACGCGGCGUUAACACUGCGGCGACGAAGGAGAUGUCUAUCAGACCGCCGAGUUUCCGGAUGAGUCCACGUGGGACCCCUUCGUCAGUCCUACAUGGCUGGUGUGCCCGGGCACUGAUGCGUCACCAACGUAUCUAUAAUUUAUGAAGUACUCAUGUCAUGUUACAACAAUUUUAUAUGGUUUUGGUAUGAUUUGAAUGGAACUAAUCCGGACUGACAAUGUUUUCAGCAGAACUACCAUUGUGUUGUUUUUUGUGCAGAAAUAAAGUUUCUCAGAAUGGAGUGAAACUAUUUGACAAUUUUUUUAACAGAAGAGCCACGACGUGCCCACGAGGCACUUGGGCGUGCCCAGGGGUGAUGGUGCCGUGGUGCCUUGAUAUGUCUCCAACGUAUCUAUAAUUUAUGAAGUAUUUAUGCCAUGUUUACAACAAUUUUAUAUGGUUUUGGUAUGAUUUGCAUGGAACUAACCCAGACUGGCACUGUUUUCAACACAACUACCAUGGUGUUGUUUUUUGUGCAGAAAUAAAAGUUCUCGGAAUUGGAUGAAAUUUUUUGAUGAUUUUUUUGGAAUAAAUAAAAAUACUGGAGCAAAGAACCACAGGAAGGGGGGCUGCUGCCCACAAGGCACGAGGGCACGCCACCCCCCAUUUGGCGCGCCCAAGAGUGUAGUGGGCCCCCUCAGGCCCAUCUUCGCGUGAAAUCGAUGCCAAAAAAUCCUAUAAAUGCAUAAACCCCCAAAAAUAACUCUAGAUGAGAAGUUUGGCUGCCGCAAACCCCUGUAGCCACGAAAAGCCAAUCGGGAGCCCGUUCGGGCACCCUGUCGGAGGGGGAAAUCAUCAUCGGAGGCCAUCUUCAUCAUCCCUAUGGUCUCCAUGAUGAGGAGGGAGUAGUCCACCCACGUGGUUGAGGGUUUGUACCAAUAGCUAUGUGUUUACUCUCUCUCUCUCUCUCGUGUUCUUGAUUUGGCACGAUCUUGAUGUAUCACGAGCUUUGUUAAUAUGGUUGGAUCAUAUGGUGUUUCUCCCUCUCUAUCUUGUUGUGAUGAAUUGAGUUUUCCCUUUGAGAUUUCGUUAUUAUUGGAUCGAAUACUUUUAUGGAUUUGAGAGCACUUGAUAUAUGUAUUGAGAUCUCAAAUUCAUCGGAUCUCGACAAACACACCGCAAAAAGAGUUACAUCAAAUAGAUCUCCAAGAAGAUCGAGAAGAACUUUGUAUUGAGAUUCAAAGAGAGAGAGAAGAAGCCAUCUAGCUAAUAACUAUGGACCCGAAGGUCUGUGGUAAAAUACUCACAACUCAUCGGAGAGGCCUUGGCGAUGAUGUAGAAGCCCUCCGUGAUCGAUUCCCCCUCCGGCGGAGCGCCGAAAAAGGCUCCAAGACGGGAUCUCACGGGUACAGAAGGUUGCGGUGGUGGAAAUAGUUUCUCGUGGUGCUCCUGGAUGUUCUCGGGGUAUGUAGAUAUAUAUAGGCGAAGGAUGUAGGUCAGGGGAGCCACGGGAGGGGGGGCACGAGGCAGGGGGUGCCCCCCUCCCCUAGGGCGCGCCCUACACCCUCGUGUCCGCCUCGGCUGCUUCUUGAUGUCCACUCCAAGUCACCUGGAUUGCGUUUGUUCCAAAAAGAUUGCUUCCGAAGGUUUCAUUCCGUUUGGACUUCGUUUGAUAUUCAUUUUCUGUGAAACAUUGAAAUAGGCAAAAAAAUCAGCAAUUCGGGCUGGGCCUCCGGUUAGUAGGUUAGUCCCAAAAAUGAUAUAAAAGUGUAAAGUAAAGCCCAUAAACAUCUAAAACGGGUAAUAUCCAAAACGGGUAAUAUAAUAGCAUGGAACAAUCAAAAACUAUAGAUACGUAUCAAUCUUCGAGAAGCUCGUCGGCGAGGCCGCCAAGCUCGCCCGCUACAACACGAAGCCCACCAUCACCUCCCGGGAGAUCUAGACCUCCGUCCGCCUCGUCCUCCCCGGCGAGCUCACCAAGCACGCCGUCUCCGAGGGCACCAAGGCCGUCACCAAGUUCACAUCCUCUUAGAUUGUACAUCUAGUAGCAAUUGUAGAUGGUUCUAUUACUUAGUGCUUGUCGACUGUGGCCAGAGGCGGAAUUGGGCCUAGGGCAACUAGGGCUAUAGCCCCAGGCGCGGCCGAACUAGUAGUUAUACGUCCAAAUAAUUUUCUUCCAUUUUUGUACCCCUAAAAGGCCCAGCCCCAGCCAUGUAAACGCAGCCCAGGCAUCAGCCCAGACAAUAGCCCAACUAAGUAUACCUACUUUCCAUCGCAACCAGUUCGCAAUUAGCCCACGAUGCCAUGAUCGCGCGCUCAACCACACCGUAUCUCCUUCUCGCUCGUCUGAUCAGGAAAUAGAUCUGGCUCAAGCAAUCACACUGCGCCGCCAAUUCCCUUCGAGGCCACGAUUGCUCGACUAGAGGGACGAACGUCUAGACCUACGCCCAGUCGGCUGGCGCUCGGAGCCUCGGAUCGGAUCAUCUCUCGCCUCAUCCGAGCUGCCCCCUCUAGCGCUCUGUUCUGCUCCAUCUACACAACCGACUGGAUAUCUAUCCGAUUAGGCUUGUGAUCUCUUGUACCAUGUACUCUUUUUUCCCUAGUUCAUUUUUUAUCAACCGAAAUCAAGGAUUUGGUGAUGCUAAAUUUCAUUUCAUUGUUAUUUGUUAACAGCAAAAAAUUACCAAUCCAAGAUGAUGAAGACCUGGACAAUUAAAUCCUUUUUCAAGCAACAUCCAAAUAGGCUGCAUCAAACAAUACACAUCAACGAAUGACCUUCGGAACGAGUAGGACUCGAAAAAAUACACGAGGAAAUGCAAUGGUCUACUACCUUGUGCACUUGGCCAUAAUAUUUUGUAUUUGUAAUUCAUAUGAACAAUUGACUUAGUACAUGUCCAUUAUCUUGAUUUUAAUUACUCUAUUUUAUGUUUACAGUUCCCGGUCCUUCUAUUAUUGCUGGUGAAGAAUGAUGUCCUCGAAUAAAGCAAGUCUUCACUAAUAUGAUAUCGGGGUUUCUUCUCACAGUAAAAAUGAACUUAUAUUUCACUUUUUGUUAACUAUUUCUUUUGUCGGAUUUCUUCUCUCAGUAAAACUGAACUUAUAUUUCAUUGGUAAUGUGACUUUGUGGUGUACUUUAACAUGCAUCUGUACAUGGUAUUUAAUGUUAUUUGUAGUCCCGCCACAAUUGUUUUUAUUUGUAGUCACUUAAUUUUAGCCCUAGGCUUUGAGAAAUCCUGGCUCCGCCUCUGACUGUGGCUAUCUGGAAGUAGAAGUGGUGUUAGUGUUGGCUGGAUGGGAAUUGUUGAAUGAUUGUCGAUACUCUGUUGGUUCUUUGGUUGCAACUAAACCCAGGCAAACGUCGGGCCGGGUCGGGUUCGGGCCGGGCUUGACAAAGCCCGAAGAGAAAUUCCCAAGCCCGAGCCCGGCCCGGCCCGGCCCGAAGUACAUGAACAGUGACACUUCUUUAUUAAAUUAAUCAUUUUCCGGAUAUUAUAUUAAUUUAUUAUACCUAUAUUUCAAAUAAAAUAUGUUUUUUAUAUAUUUCGGGCUUUAUUCGGGCCGGGCUUCGGGUCAGAAAAUGGAGCCCGAGCCCGGCCCGAAUGUCGGGCUUCGGGUUCGGGCCGACGGGCCGGGUUGUCCAUGACCGGGUAUAGUUGCAACAACUGAAUUUGUGCUUAAAAUCUUUCGGUUAACUGACAUAUUAAAAGUAGUGAUCCAUUUCAGCUAUGAUUACUAGUCUCUACCAUGUGAUUGUGCUUUUUGGUAAUCCAAGUUAUUUAGACUGAUGAUGUGCUGGUGAUACGUCUACAACGUAUCUAUAAUUUUUGAUUGUUUCAUGCUAUUAUAUUACCUGUUUUGGAUGUUUAUGGGCUUUACUUUACACUUUCAUAUCACUUUUGGGACUAACCUACUAACCGGAGGCCCAGCCCGAAUUGUUGUUUUUUUGCCUAUUUCAGUAUGUCGAAGGAAAGGAAUAUCAAACGGAGUGCAAACGGAAUGAAACCUUCGGGAGCGAUCUUUUUGGAACAAACGCAAUCCAGGAGACUUGGAGUGGACGUCAAGAAGCAGCCGAGGCGGCCACGAGGGUGGCUAGCGCGCCCAGUAAGAGUGGGCGCACCCCUGCCUCGUGGGCCCCUCGUGGCUCCCCUGACCGACUUGCUUCGCCUAUAUAUAUCUACGUACCCCGAAAACAUCCACGAGCACCACGAGAAAUUAUUUCCACUGCCGCAAUCUUCUGCAUCCGCGAGAUCCCAUCUUGGAGCCUUCGUCGGUGCUCCGCCGGAGGGGGAAUCGACCACGGAGGCCCUCUCCAUCUCCACCAAGGCCUCUCCGAUGAGUUGUGAGUAGUUUACCACAAACCUUUGGGUCCAUAGUUAUUAGCUAGAUGACUUCUUCUCUCUCUUUGAUUCUCAAUACAAAGUUCUCCUUCCUUUUCUUGGAGAUCUAUUUGAUGUAACUCUUUUUGUGGUGUGUUUGUCGAGAUCCGAUGAAUUGUGGGUUUAUGAUCAAGUUUAUCUAUGAGAAAUAUUUGAAUCUCCUCUAAAUUCUUUUAUGUAUGAUUGGUUAUCUUUGCAAGUCUCUUCAAAUUAUCAGUUUGGUUUGGCCUACUAGAUUGAUCGUUCUUGCCAUGGGAGAAGUGCUUAGCUUUGGGUUCAAUCUUGCGGUGUCCUUUCCCAGUGACAGCAGGUGCAGCAAGGUACGUAUUGUAUUGUUACCAUCAAGGAUAAAAAGAUGGGGUUCAUAUCAUAUUGCAUGAGUUUAUCCCUCUACAUCAUGUCAUCUUGCUUAAUGUGUUACUCUGUUCUUAUGAACUUAAUACUCUAGAUGCAGGCAGGAGUCGGUCGAUGUGUGGAGUAAUAGUAGUAGAUGCAGGCAGGAGUCGGUCUACUUGUUGCGGACGUGAUGCCUAUAUACAUGAUCAUGCCUAGAUAAUCUCAUAACUAUGCACUUUUCUGUCAAUUGCUCGACAGUAAUUUGUUCACCCACCGUAAUAAUUAUGCUAUCUUUAGAGAAGCCACUAGUGAAGCCUAUGGCCCCGGGGUCUAUCUUUCUCACUUUCGCAAGUUACCGUGAAGGGAUUGACAACCCUUUUAUCGCGUUGGUUGCGAGGUUCUUGUUUGUUUGUGUAGGUGCGUGGGACUUUUGAGGAGCCUCCUACUGGAUUGAUACCUUGGUUCUCAAAACUGAGGGAAAUACUUACGCUACUUUGCUGCAUCACCCUUUCCUCUUCAAGGGAAAAACCAACGCAUGCUCAACAGGUAGCAAGAAGGAUUUCUGGCGCCGUUGCCAGGGAGGUCUUCGCUCAAGUCAAGACAUACCAAGUAUCCAUCACAAACUCAUCUCCCUCGCAUUACAUUAUUUGGCAUUUGCCUCUCGUUUUACUCUCCCCCACUUCACCCUUGCCAUUUUAUUCGCCCUUCUUCCGUUCGAUCUUAUGUUUGCUUGUGUCUCCAUGUGCCUUCUAUGUGCUUUCAUCUUUGCUUGCUAAAAAACUAUUGAUAUGGAUCCACUUAAAGUGUUCUACUUGGAUCAUCUUUGAUCCUUAUGCGCUCGUGCUGAAACCCCAACUAGCCUAGUUGAUGGGAAAUCCUUAGAUGAGCAUGCUCAUUUUGUGCGUCAAUGUUUGUUUGAAAAGGGAAGCUCUUAUGGUAUCACAUAAAUAGUUUGCUUUGCUAUGCUUGGAAUCUUUGUGAAAUUUAUGAUUUUACUUGUUGCUCUAAGAACCCUAAAAAACACCUUCCCUACCUAUGUGAGUUUAAUGAUAAUGAAAUCUUAUCUUCUUAUGCAAAAGGUGUUUUAUAGUUACUAUGAUAUCGAACAAAUUGAAGAAUUUGUCGUUUUUAAUGGUGCUCAUGAAGUUGCUUCUUUGAUUAAACAGUAUGAUAUUACUCUCUACAAAUCUGAAAACUCCGACAUACUUAAAUAUUGCUAUGAAAACUUUGCUCAUAAUGCCUAUGUUAAGGAAUUUAUUGAGAGAAUGAUCGUUGCUUUGGAAGAAAAUAAUGAUAUGCAUGAAUCUAUGGAUAAUUAUGAUUCCGAUGAUUUGAUUGAAAUUUCCCUUGAUGAACAUGAUGCUUGCUAUUCUUGUGGCCAUGAUGCCAAUAUUUAUGAAGACGAAUUUGCUAUAGUUCCUUAUGUUAAACAUGAGAUCGUUGCUAUUGCAUCCACACUUGAUAGUUCCCUCGAUGAAAAGCAUGAUUGCAAUGAUGUUACUAUAAAUUCUCUUGAUGUCAAUUGUGCUAAUAAUAUGCAAAAUCCUAAGCUUGGGGAUGCUAGUUUUGCUAUGUCUACUACUUGUUGCAAUGAUCAUGAUUGGGGUGCUUCUUCUUAUGAUCUUGAAAAUUUGUUUAAGCCCCAUAAUGAAUAUGAGAUUGAUAAUAGUGUUUGCAAUAAUAUUGAAAGUGGGUUUGGAAGAGUGUCAACUUUAGAUCCCACAUAUUUGGAUAAUGCUCAAUCUUAUGAAGUUUUUGAUAAAAGUGGGUUUGGAGAGGUCAUGACUUUAGUUAAUGUUAGUCCCACUAUUUUGGAAGAGUGUCAACUUUGCAUGCAUGUGGAUCAUGUUGAAAAUAUUUUGUUUGAUAGUUAUUUUGUUGAAUUUGCUUAUGAUCCUGCAUGUAAUUAUUAUGAGAGAGUAAAAUAUGGUUGUAGAAAUUUUCAUGUUACUAAAUUACCUCUCUUCAUGUUGAGAUUGCUACCGUCUUCUUCCUUGCAUAUGCUAGUUUUUGCUUGCAUUGAUAAUUUGUUUACUUAUAAAAAACCUAUGCAUAGGAAGUAUGUUAUACUUAAGUGUGUUUUUCACAUGUUUUAUGAUGCUCUCUUUAUACUUCAAUUCUUGUCUUUCAUGUGAGCAUCAUUGAAAUCUUAAUGCCUAGCUAAAAAGGCUUUAAAGAAAAGUGUUUGUUGGGAGACAACCCAAUAUUUUUCCUUACUGUUAUUCAAUAAAUAUAUCAUCUACAUUCUAUUUAGAUGUGUUUUCAUAUAUUAAUUAGUGUUUGUGCCAAAUAGAACCUAUAGGAUAACCUUGGGUGAAAGUUAAUUUGAUUCUGCUGAAAAACAGAAACUUUGCGUGCACGAGAAGCAAUUCAAUAAAUCAUAGAAACAUGCUUUUGCAUUGGUUUAUUUUUGUUGUAGAUCAAUAGAUAAAUUACCUAGGACUUCCUAUUUUGGUAGGAUUUUUAGAGUUCCAGAAGUAUUCGAAAGUUACAGAUUGCUACAGACUGUUCUGCUUUUGACAGAUUCUGUUUUUCGUGUGUUGUUUGCUUAUUUUGAUGCAUCUAUGGCUAGUAUCGAUGGGUAUGAACCAUAGAGAAGUUGGAAUACAGUAGGUUUAACACCAAUAUAAAUAAAGAAUGAGUCCAUUACAGUACCUUAUGUGGUGGUUUUUCUUUCUUGCACUAACGGAGCUUAUAAGAUUUCCUGUUGAGUUUUGUGUUGUGAAGUUUUCAAGUUUUGGGUAAAGAUUUGAUGGACUAUGGAAUAAGGAGUGGCAAAAGCCUAAGCUUGGGGAUGCCCCAGAAGGCAUCCCCUCUUUCAUCUUCGUUUAUCGAUAACUUUACUUGGAGCUAUAUUUUUAUUUACCACAUGAUAUGUGUUUUGCUUGGAGCGUCUUGUAUGAUAUGAGUCUUUGCUUUUCAGUUUACCACAAUCAUCCUUUUUGUACACACCUUUUGGGAGAGACCCACAUGAUUUAAAAAAUAUUAGAAUACUCUAUGUGCUUCACUUAUAUCUUUCGAGCUAUAUAGUUUUUCUCUAUGUGCUUCACUUAUAUUUUCUAGAGCACGGCGAUGGCUUUAUUUUGAAGAAAUUAUUGAUCUCUCAUGCUUCACUUAUAUUAUGUUGAGAGUCUUUUAGAACAUCAUGGUAUUUGUUAUGGUUAUAAAUUUGGUCCUAGAAUUAUGAGCAUCCAAGUUGGGUAUAAUAAAAACUAUCAUAUAAAGUGCAUUGAAAACUAUGGUCGAUUUGAUGCUUGAUAAUUGUUUUGAGAUAUAAAGGUAAUAAUGUUAGAGUCGCGCUAGUUGGGUAAUUAUGAAAUUGAGAAAUACUUGUGUUAAAGUUGGCAAGUCCUGUAGCAUGCACGUAUGGUAAAAGUUGUGUGACAAAUUUGUUGCAUGGGAUGCUCUUUGAGUGCUUUCCUUAUGAGUGGCAGUCGGGGACAAUCGAUGGUCUUUUCCUACCAAUCUAUCCCUCUAGGGGCAUGCGUAGUAGUACUUUGCUUUGAGGGCUAAUAAAUUUUUGCAAUAAGUAUAUGAGUUCUUUAUGACUAAUGUGAGUCCAUGGAUAUACGCACACUUACCCUUCCACUUUGCUAGCCUCUAUUAUGUCGCGCAACUUUUGCUGGUAUUAUGAACCCAUUAUUUACCUUCCUCAAAACAGCCACCAUACCUACCUAUUAUGGCAUCUCCAUAGCCAUUCUGAGAUAUAUUGCCAUGCAACUUUCCACCGUUCCGUUUAUAAAGACACACGUUAUCAUUGUCAUAUUGCUCUUGGCAUGAUUAUGUAGUUGACAUAGUAUUUGUGGCAAGGUCACCUUCAUAAUUUUUCAUACAUGUCACUCUUGAUUCAUUGCAUAUCCCGGUACACCACCGGAGGCAUUCACAUAGAGUCAUAUAUUGUUCUAGUUCUUGAGUUGUAAAUCAAUAAAAGUGUGAUGAUCUUCAUUAUUAGAGUGUUGUCCCAAGUGAGGAAAGGAUGAUGAAGACUAUGAUUCCCCCACAAGUCGGGAUGAGACUUCGGACUUUAUAAAAAUAAAAGAGGCCAAAGAAGCCCAUAAAAAGAGAGGCCAAAGAAGCCCACGAAAAUUAAAAAAAAUGAUGAGAGAAAAAGAGAGAAGGGACAAUGCUACUAUCCUUUUACCACAUUUGUGCUUCAAAGUAGCACCAUGAUCUUCAUGAUAGAGAGUCUCCGAUGUUGUCACUUUCUUAUACUAGUGGGGAAUUUUCAUUAUAGAACUUGGCUUGUAUAUUCCAAUGAUGGGCUUCCUCAAAACGCCCUAGGUCUUUGUGAGCAAGCAAGUUGGAUGCACACCCACUUAGUUUCUUUUGUUGAGCUUUCAUAUAUUUAUAGCUCUAGUGCAUCCGUUGCAUGGCAAUCCCUACUCACUCGCAUUGAUAUCUAUUAAUGGGCAUCUCCAUAGCCCGUUGACACGCCUAGUUGAUGUGAGACUAUCUUCUCCCUCUUUGUCUUCAUAACCACCACCAUAUACCACACAUAUUGCUAUGUCCAUGGCUUGCGCUCAUGUAUUGCGUAAGAAUUGAAAAGGCUGAAGCGCUUAAAAAAUAUGAACCAAUUGCUCGGCUCGUCAUCGGGGUUAUGCAUAAGGGGAGUAUUUUGUGUGAUAGAGAUCAAGCAUGGCCUAACUAUAUGAUUUUGUAGGGAUGAGCUUUCUUUGGCUAUGCUAUUUUGAUAGGACAUGAUUAUUUGCUAGUAUGCUUCGAAGUAUUACUGUUUUUUAUGUUUUAUAAGCUUUUAUCUUGAAUCAUUUGGAUCUGAACAAUCAUGCCACAAUAAAGAGAACUACAUUGAGAAUUAUGCUAGGUAGCAUUCCACAUCAAAAAUUCUGUUUUUAUCAUUUACCUACUCGAGGACGAGCAGGAAUUAAGCUUGGGGAUGCUUGAUACGUCUCUAACAUAUCUAUAAUUUUUGAUUGUUUCAUGAUAUUAUAUUACCUGUUUUGGAUAUUUAUGGGCUUUACUUUACACUUUUAUAUCAUUUUUGGGACUAACCUACUAACCGGAGGCCCAGCCUGAAUUGCUGUUUUUUGUGCCUAUUUCAGUAUAUCGAAGGAAAGGAAUAUCAAACGGAGUCCAAACAGAAUGAAACCUUCGGGAGCGAUCUUUUUGGAACAAACGCAAUCCAGGAGACUUGGAGUGGACGUCAAGAAGGAGCCGAGGCGGCCACGAGGGUGGCCGGCGCGCCCAGUAAGGGUGGGCGCGCCCCCUGCCUCGUGGGCCCCACAUGGCUCCCCUGACCGACUUCCUUCACCUAUAUAUAUCUACGUACCCCGAAAACAUCCAGGAGCACCACGAGAAAUUAUUUCCACCGCAGCAACCUUUUGUAUCCGCGAGAUCCCAUCUUCGAGACUUCACCGGCGCUCCGCGGAGGAGGAAUCGACCACGGAGGGCCUCUUCAUCACCACCAAGGCCUCUCCGAUGAGUUGUGAGUAGUUUACCACAGACCUUCGGGUCCAUAGUUAUUAGCUAGAUGGCUUCUUCUCUCUCUUUGAUUCUUAAUACAAAGUUCUCCUUCCUCUUCUUGGAGAUCUAUUCGAUGUAACUCUUUUUGCGGUGUGUUUGUUGAGAUCCGAUGAAUUAUGGGUUUAUGAUCAAGUUUAUCUAUGAGAAAUAUUUGAAUCUCCUCUGAAUUCUUUUAUGUAUGAUUGGUUAUCUUUGCAAGUCUCUUCGAAUUAUCAGUUUGGUUUGGCCUACUAGAUUGAUCUUUCUUGCCAUGGGAGAAGUGUUUAGCUUUGGGUUCAAUCUUGUGUUGUCCUUUCCCAGUGACAGUAGGGGCAACAAGGCACAUAUUGUAUUGUUUCUAUCAAGGAUAAAAAGAUGGGGUUUAUAUCAUAUUGCAUGAGUUUAUCCCUCUACAUCAUGUCAUCUUGCUUAAUGCGUUACUCUGUUCUUAUGAAUUUAAUACUCUAGAUGCAGGCAGGAGUCGGUCGAUGUGUGGAGUAAUAGUAGUAGAUGCAGGCAGGAGUCGGUCUACUUGUUGCGGACGUGAUGCCUAUACACAUGAUCAUGCCUAGAUAAUCUCAUAACUAUGCAUUUUUCUAUCAAUUGCUCGAUAGUAAUUUGUUCACCCACCGUAAUAAUUAUGCUAUCUUGAGAGAAGCCACUAGUGAAACCUAUGGCCCUGGGGUCUAUCUUUUAUCAUAUAAGUUUUCCAUCUACUUUUAUUUGCAUCUUUUACUUUCCAAUCUAUAUCAUAAAAAUACCAAAAAUAUUUAUCUUAUCAUAUUAUCUCUAUCAGAUCUUACUUUCGCAAGUUACCGUGAAGGGAUUGACAACCCCUUUCGUCGGACUUUUGAGGAGCCUCCUACUGGAUUGAUACCUUGAUUCUCAAAACUGAGGGAAAUACUUACGCUACUUUGCUGCAUCACCCUUUCCUCUUCAAGGGAAAAACCAACGCAUGCUUAAGUGGUAGCAGCUGGCAGUAAGUUACGCUUAUUCGUUAGGUCCUCUUGAAUGUCCGAAUUGGGUUUAACUGAGAUUUACUGCUGAGAUGAUCAAUAAGAUGGCUGAUACGUCUCCAACGUAUCUAUAAUUUUUGAUUUUUUGAUUGUUCCAUGCUAUUAUAUUACCUGUUUUGGAUGUUUAUGGGCUUUACUUUACACUUUUAUAUCAUUUUUGGGACUAACCUAUUAACCGGAGGCCCAACCUGAAUUCCUGUUUUUUUGCCUAUUUCAGUGUUUCGAAGAAAAGGAAUAUCAAACGGAGUCCAAACGGGAUGAAACCUUCGGGAGCGAUCUUUUUGGAACAAAUGCAAACCAGGGGACUUGGAGUGGAUGUCAAGCAACGAGCGAGGCGGUCACGGUGCCCGGCGCGCCCUGUAAGGGUGGGCAUGCCCCCCUGCCUCGUGGGCCCCUCGUGGCUCCCCUGACCGACUUCCUUCAUCUAUAUAUAUCUACGUACCCCGAAAACAUCCUGGAGCACCACGAGAAAUUAUUUCCACCGCAACAACCUUCUGUAUCCGCGAGAUCCCAUCUUCGAGCCUUUGCCGGCGCACGUCGGAGGGGGAAUCAACCACGGAGGGCCUCUACAUCAUCUCCAAGGCCUCUCCGAUGAGUUGUGAGUAGUUUACCAUAGACCUUUGGGUCCAUAGUUAUUAGCUAGAUGGCUUCUUCUCUCUCUUUGAUUCUCAAUACAAAGUUCUCCUUCCUCUUCUUGGAGAUCUAUUAGAUGUAACUCUUUUUGCAGUGUGUUUGUCAAGAUCCGAUGAAUUGUGGGUUUAUGAUCAAGUUUAUCUAUGAGAAUUAUUUGAAUCUCCUCUGAAUUCUUUUAUGUAUGAUUGGUUAUCUUUGCAAGUCUCUUCGAAUUAUCAGUUUGGUUUGGCCUACUAGAUUGAUCUUUCUUGCCAUAGGAGAAGUGCUUAGCUUUGGGUUCAAUCUUGCGAUGUCCUUUCCCAGUGACAACAGGGGCAGCAAGGCACGUAUUGUAUUGUUGUCACCGAGGAUAAAAAGAUGGGGUUUAUAUCAUAUUGCAUGAGUUUAUCCCUCUACAUCAUGUCAUCUUGCUUAAUGUGUUACUCUGUUCUUAUGAACUUAAUACUCUAGAUGCAGGCAGGAGUCGGUCGAUGUGUGGAGUAAUAGUAGUAGAUGCAGAAUCGUUUCGAUCUACUUGUUGCGGACGUGAUGCCUAUAUACAUGAUCAUGCCUAGAUAUUUUCAUAACUAUGCACUUUUCUAUCAAUUGCUCGACAAUAAUUUGUUCACCCACCGUAAUACUUAUGCUAUCUUGAGAGAAGCCACUAGUGAAACCUAUGCCCCCCGGGUCUAUCUUUUAUCAUAUAAGUUUUCCAUCUACUUUUAUUUGCAUUUUUUACUUUCCAAUCUAUAUCAUAAAAAUACCAAAAAUAUUUAUCUUAUCAUAUUAUUUCUAUUAGAUCUCACUUUUGCAAGUUUCCGUGAAGGGAUUGACAACCCCUUUAUCGCAUUGGUUGCGAGGUUCUUGUUUGUUUGUGUAGGCGCGUGGGACUUGUGAGGAGCCUCCUACUGGAUUGAUACCUUGGUUCUCAAAAUCGAGGGAAAUACUUACGCUACUUUGCUGCAUCACCCUUUCCUCUUCAAGGGAAAAACCAACGCAUGCUCAAGAGGUAGCAAGAAGGAUUUCUGGCGCCGUUGCCGGGAGGUCUUCGCUCAAGUCAAGACAUACCAAGUACCCAUCACAAACUCAUCUCCCUCGCAUUACAUUAUUUGCCAUUUGCCUCUCGUUUUCCUCUCCCCCACUUCACCCUUGCCGUUUUAUUUGCCCUUCUUCUAUUCGUCUUUUCGUUUUCUUUGAUGUCUUAGUUGCCUCGUUUGCUUGUUUUGUUGGAAUAGUUGUUUAUUUAUUGCUAAAAAGAGAACCUAAGAUCUAUGGAUCCUCAUCCGCUUGCCAAUCUUUUUAAGAGAUCCAAUUAUGAUGAACCAAAUUCUAGUGAUUUGAGUGCACUAGAUUAUCUUUAUGAGAUUUUGCUUGAAAUUCGUGAACCUGAAAAUUGUGAUGAAGAAAUUUAUGAAGAGAUUCACAAUAGCUCCUUGAAUAAAAAGCAUGAUUGCAAUGAUUUUAUUAUAAAUUCUAUUAAUGUCAAUUGUGUUAAUGAUAUGCAAAACCCUAAGCUUGGGGAUGCUAGUUUUGCUAUGUCCACUACUUGUUGCAAUGAUCAUGAUUGAGGUGAUUCUUCUUAUAAUCUUGAAAUUUUAUUUAAGCCCCACGAUGAAUAUGAGAUUGAUAAUAAUGUUUGCAAUAAUACUGAAUGUGGGUUUGGAAGAGUGUCAACUUUAGGUCCCACAUAUUUGGAUAAUGUUCAAUCUUAUGAAGUUUUUGAUAAAAGUGGGUUUGGAGAGGUCAUGACUUUAGUUAAUGUUAAUCCCACGAUUUUGGAAGAGUGUCAACUUUGCAUGCAUGUGGACUGUGUUGAGAAUAUGUUAUGUGAUAACUAUUUUGUUGAAUUUUCUUAUGAUCCUACAUGUAAUUUUUAUGAGAGAGGAAAAUAUGGUUGUAGAAAUUUUCAUGUUACUAAAUUACCUCUCCUCAUGUUGAGAUUGUUAUCGUCUUCUUCCUUGCAUAUGCUAGUUUUUGCUUGCCUUGCAAAUUUGUUUGCUUAUAAUAUGCCUAUGUAUAGGAAGUAUGUUAGACUUAGAUGUGUUUGUCACAUGUUUUAUGAUGCUCUCUUUAUGCUUCAAUUCUUGUUUUUUAUGUGAGCAUCAUUGAAAUCUCAAUGCCUAGCUAAAAAGGCUUUAAGGAAAAGCGCUUGUUGGGAGACAACCCAAUAUUUUUCCUUGAUGUUAUUCAAUAAAUAAUAAAUCUAGCUUGUGGUCAGAUGUUUUUUUAUGUUUUAAUUAGUGUUUGUGCCAAGUAGAACCUAUAGGAUAACUUAUGGUGAUAGUUAAUUUGAUUCUGCCGAAAAACAGAAACUUUGCGCGCACGAGAAAAAAAUCAAUAAAUCACAGAAAUGUGCUUUUGCGUUGAUUAUUUUUUAUGUAGAUCAAUAGACAAAUUAACUAGGACGUACUAUUUUGGUAGGAUUUUUGGAGUUCCAGAAGUAUUCGAAAGUUACAGAUUGCUACAGACUGUUCUACUUUUGACAGAUUCUGUUUUUCGUAUGUUGUUUGCUUAUUUUGAUGCAUCUAUGGCUAAUAUCGGGGGGUAUGAACCAUAUAGAAGUUGGAAUACAGUAGGGUUAACACCAAUAUAAAUAAAGAAUGAGUUCAUUACAGUACCUUAUGUGGUGGUUUUUCUUUCUUGCACUAACGGAGCUUAUGAGAUUUCCUGUUGAGUUUUGUGUUGUGAAGUUUUCAAGUUUUGGGUAAAGAUUUAAUGGACUAUGAAAUAAGGAGUGGCAAGAGCCUAAGCUUGGGGAUGCCCAUGGCACCCCAAGAUAUUCAAGGAUGACCAAGAGCCUAAGCUUGGGAUGCCCCGGAAGGCAUCCCCUCUUUUGUCUUCGUCUAUCAGUAACUAUACUUGGAGCUAUAUUUUUAUUCGCCACAUGAUAUGUGUUUUGCUUGGAGCGUCUUGUAUGAUAUGAGUCUUUGAUUUUUAUAUUACCACAAUCAUCCUUGAUGUACACACCUUUUGGGAGAAAUCCACACGUUUUGGAAUUUAUUAGAAUACUCUAUGUGCUUCACUUAUAUCUUUUGAGCUAGAUAAUUUUUGCUCUAGUGCUUCACUUAUAUCUUUUAGAGCACGACGGUGGUUUAAUUUUGUAGAAAUUGUUGAUCUCUCAUGCUUCACUUAUAUUAUUUUGAGAGUCUUUUAGAACAACAUGGUAUUUGCUAUGGUUAUAAAAUUGGUCCUAGAAUGAUGAGCAUCCAAGUUGGGUAUAAUAAAAACUAUCAUAGAAAGUGAAUUGGAUGAUAUGAUCAAUUUGAUGCUUGCUAAAUGUUUUGAGAUAUGGAUGGUGAUAUUAGAGCCAUGCUAGUAGGGUAAUUAUGAAUUUAAGGAAUACUUGUGUUGAAGUUUGUGAUUUCCGUAGCAUGCACGUAUGGUGAACCGCUUUGUGAUGAAGUUGGAGCACGGUUUAUUUAUUGAUUGUCUUCCUUAUGAGUGGCGGUCGGGGACGAGCGAUGAUAUUUUCCUACUAAUCUAUCCCCCUAGGAGCUGUUGGGGAACGUAGUAAUUUCAAAAAAAUUCCUACGCUCACACAAGAUCAUGGUGAUGCAUAGCAAUGAGAGGGGAGAGUGUGUCCACGUACCCUCGCAAACCGAAAGCGGAAGCGUUAGCACAACGCGGUUGAUGUAGUCGUACGUCUUCACGAUCCGAUCAAUCAAGUACCGAAUGCACGACACCUCUGAGUUCAACACACGUUCAACUCGAUGACGUCCCUUGAACUCCGAUCCAACCGAGCUUUGAGGGAGAGUUCCGUCAGCACGACGGCGUGGUGACGAUGAUGAUGUUCUACCGACGCAGGGCUUCGCCUAAGCACCGCUAUGAUAUUAUCGAGGUGGAUUAUGGUGGAGGGGGGCACCGCACAUGGCUAAGAGAUCCAAGGGAUCAAUUGUUGUCUCUAUGGGGUGCCCCCCUUCGUAUAUAAAGGAGGGGAGGAGAGGUCCGACCAGGAGGAGGAGGCACGCCCAAGCGGUGGGAGACCGGGAGUAGGACUCCUCCUUUUCCUACUUGUAGAGGGAGAGGGAAGGAAGAGGACGGAUGGAGGAAGGAAAGGGGGGGGGCGGCCCCUCCCAAUUCGGAUUGGGCUUGGGGGGGGGGGGCGCACCCCCUCCCUUGCUCCUUUCCCCUCCUUUCCACUAAAGCCCAUUAAGGCCCAUAUACCUCUCGGGGGGUUCCGAUAACCUCUCGGUGCUUCGGUAUUAUCCUGAUCUCACCCGGAACCAUUCCAGUGUCCAAAUAUAGUCGUCCAAUAUAUCGAUCUUUACGUCUUGACCAUUUCGAGACUCCUCGUCAUGUCCGUGAUCACAUCCAGGACUCCGAACUACCUUCGGUACACAAAACACAUAAAAUCAUAAUAUAACAGUCAUCGAACUUUAAGCGUGCGGACCCUACGGGUUCGAGAACUAUGUAGACAUGACCGAGACACGUCUCCGGUCAAUAACCAAUAGUGGAACCUGGAUGCUCAUAUUGGCUCCCACAUAUUCUACGAAGAUCUUUAUUAUUCAAACUGCAUAACAACAUACGUUGUUCCCUUUGUCAUCGGUAUGUUACUUGCCCGAGAUUCAAUCGUCGGUAUCUCAAUACCUAGUUCAAUCUCGUUACUGGCAAGUCUCUUUACUCGUUCCAUAAUACAUCAUCUCGCAACUAACGCAUUAGUUGCAAUGCUUGCAAGGCUUAUAUUUAUGUGCAUUACUGAGUGGGCCCAGAGAUACCUCUCUGACAAUCGGAGUGACAAAUCCUAAUCUCGAAAUACGCCAACCCAACAAGUACCUUUGGAGACACCUGUAGAGCACCUUUAUAAUCACCCAGUUACGUUGUGACGUUUGGUAGCACACAAAGUGUUCCUCCGGUAAACGGGAGUUGCAUAAUCUCAUAGUCAUAGGAACAUGUAUAAGUCAUGAAGAAAGCAAUAGCAACAUACUAAAUGAUCAAGUGCUAAGCUAACGGAAUGGGUCAAGUCAAUCACAUCAUUCUCCUAAUGAUGUGAUCCCGUUAAUCAAAUGACAAUUCAUGUCUAUGGCUAGGAAACUUAACCAUCUUUGAUUCAACGAGCUAGUCAAGUAGAGGCAUACUAGUGACACUCUGUUUGUCUAUGUAUUCACACAUGUACUAAGUUUCCGGUUAAUACAAUUCUAGCAUGAAUAAUAAACAUUUAUCAUGAAAUAAGGAAAUAAAUAAUAACUUUAUUAUUGCCUCUAGGGCAUAUUUCCUUCAGUCUCCCACUUGCACCAGAGUCAAUAAUCUAGUUCACAUCACCAUGUGAUUUAACACAAAUAUUCACAUCUGUAUGUGAUUAACACCCAUAGCUCAUAUCGUCAUGUGACCAACACCCAAAGGGUUUACUAGAGUCAAUAAUCUAGUUCACAUUGUUAUGUGAUUAACACCCAAAGAGUACUAAGUUGUGAUCAUGUUUUGCUCAUGAGAGAAGUUUAGUCAACGGGUCUGUCACAUUCAGAGCCGUAUGUAUUUUGCAAAAUAUUCUAUGUCUUCAAUGCUCUACACGGUGCUACUCUAGCUAAUUGUCCCACUUUCAAUAUAUAUCCAGAUUGAGACUUAGAGUUAUCUGGAUCGGUGUAAAAGCUUGCAUCAACGUAACUCUUUAUGACGAGCUCUUUUAUCACUUCCAUAAUUGAGAAGUAUUUCCUUAGUCUUCACUAAGGAUAAUUUUGACCGCUGUCCAAUGAUCUACUCCUAGAUCACUAUUGUACUCUCUUGCCAUACUCCUGGUGAGGUACACAAUAGGUCUGCUACACAACAUAGCAUACUUUAUAGAACCUAUGACUGAGGCAUAGGGAAUGACUUUUCAUUAUCUUUCUAUUUUUCUGCCAUGGUCGGGAUUUGAGUCUUACUCAACUUCACACCUCGCAACACAGGCAAGAACUCCUUUUUGACUGUUCCAUUUUGAACUACUUCAAAAUCUUAUCAAGGUAUGUACUCAUUGAAAAAUCUUAUCAAGCGUCUUGAUCUAUCUCUAUAGAUCUUGAUGCUCAAUGUGUAAGUAGCUUCACCGAGGUCUUUCAUUGAAAAACUCUUAUUCAAGUAUCCCCUUUUGCUAUCUAGAAAUUCUAUAUCAUUUCCAAUCAACAAUAUGUCAUCCACAUAUAAUAUUAGAAAUGUUAUAGAGAUCCCACUCACUUUCUUGUAAAUAUAGGCUUCUCCAAAAGUCUGUAUAAACCCCUAUGUUUUGAUCAACUCAUCAAAGCGUAUAUUCCAACUCCGAGAUGCUUGCACCAGUCCGUUGAUGGAUCGCUAGAGCUUGCACAUUUUGUUAGCACCUUUAGGAUUGACAAAACCUUCUGGUUGUAUCAUAUACAACACUUCUUUAAGAAAUAUCCAUUUAAGGAAUGCAGUUUUGACAUCCAUUUUCCAGAUUUCAUAAAAUGUGGCAAUUGCUAACAUGAUUCGGACAGACUUAAGCAUCGUUACGAGUGAGAAAAUCUCAUCGUAUUCAACAUCUUGAACUUGUCGAAAACCUUUCACAACAAGUCGAGCUUUGUAGAUAGUAACACUACUAUCAGUGUCCAUCUUCCUCUUGAAGAUCCAUUUAUUUAACUUGGCUUGCUGAUCAUCGAGCAAGUCAACCAAAGUCCAUACUUUGUUCCCAUACAUGGAUCCUAUCUCAGAUUUUAUGGCCUCAAGCCAUUUCGCGAAAUCUGGGCUCAUCAUUGCUUCCUCAUAGUUCAUAGGUUCAUCAUGGUCUAGUAACAUGACUUCCACAAUAGGAAUACCGCACCACUCUGGUGCGGACCAUACUCUGGAAGACCUACGAGGUUAUGUAGUAACUUGAUCUGAAGUUUCAUGAUCAUCAUCAUUAGCUUCCUCACUAAUUGGUGUAGGAAUCACUGGAACUGAUUUCUGUGAUGAACUACUUUCCAGUUCAGGAGAAGGUACAAUUAACUCAUCAAGUUCUACUUUCCUCUCACUCACUUCUUUCGAGAGAAACUCAUUCUCUAGAAAGGAUCCAUUCUUAGCAACGAUCUUGCCUUCGGAUCUGCGAUAGAAGGUGUACCCAACAGUUUCCUUUGGGUAUCCUAUGAAGAUGCAUUUCUCUGAUUUUGGGUUCAAGCUUAUCAGAUUAAAGCCUUUUCACAUAAGCAUCGCAGCCCCAAACUUUUAAGAAACGACAACUUUGGUUUCUUGCCAAACCACAGUUCAUAAGGUGUCAUCUCAACGGAUUUUUGAUUGUGCCCUAUUUAAAGCGAAUGUAGCUGUCUCUAAUGCAUAACCCCAAAACGAUAGUGGUAAUCUGGUAAGAGACAUCAUAGAUCACACCAUAUCCAAUAAAGUGCGGUUACGACGUUCGGACACACCAUUACGCUGUGUUGUUCCAUGUGGCGUGAGCUGUGAAACUAUUCCACAUUGUUUUAAAUGAAGGACAAACUCGUAACUCAAAUAUUCUCCUCCACGAUCAGAUCGUAGAAACUUUAUUUUCUUGUUACGAUGAUUCUCCACUUCACUCUGAAUUUCUUUGAACUUUUCAAAUGUUUCAGACUUGUGCUUCAUUAAGUAGAUAUACUCAUAUCUGCUCAAAUCAUCUUGUGAAGGUCAGAAAAUAAUGAUACCCGCCACGAGCAUCAACACUCAUUGGACUGCAUACAUCGGUAUGUAUAAUUUCCAAUAAGUCACUAGCUCAUUCCAUUGUUUUGGACAACAGAGUUUCAGUCAUCUUGCCCAUAAGGCACGGUUCGCAAGCAUCAAAUGAUUCAUAAUCAAGUGAUUCCAAAAGUCCAUCUAUAUGGAGUUUCUUCAUGUGCUUUACACGGAUAUGACCCAAACGGCAGUGCCACAAAUAUGCUGCACUAUCAUUAUCAACUUUGCAUCUUUUGGCAUCAAUAUUAUGAAUAUGUGUAUUACUACGAUCAAGAUUCAAUAAACCAUCAACAUUGGGUGUAUGACCAUAGAAGGUUUUAUUCAUAUAAACAGAAUAACAAUUUAUUCUCCAUCUUAGAUGAAUAAUCGUAUCGCAAUAAACAUGAUCUAAUCAUAUUUAUGCUCAACGCAAACACCAAAUAACAUUUAUUUAGGUUCUACACUAAUCUCGAAAGUAUAGGGAGUGUACGAUGAUGAUCAUAUCAAUCUUGGAACCACUUCCAACACACAUCGUCACUUCAUCCUCAACUAGUCUCUGUUUAUUCUGUAACUCCUGUUUUGAGUUACUAAUCUUAGCAACCGAACAAGUAUCAAAUACUCAGGGAUUACUAUAAACACUAGUAAGGUACACAUCAAUAACUUGUAUAUCAAAUAUACAUUUGUUCACUUUGCCAUCCUUCUUAUCCACCAAAUAUUCAGGGCAUUUCCGCUUCCAGUGACCAUUUCAUUUGUAGUAGAAGCACUUAGUUUCAGGCUUUGGUCUAGCUUUGGGCUUCUUCACGAGAGUGACAACUAGCUUGCCAUUCUGCUUGAAGUUCCCUUUCUUUCCCUUUGCCCUUUUCUUGAAACUAGAGGUCUUAUCAAUCAUCAACACUUGAUGCUCUUUUCUUGAUUUCUACCUUCAUCGAUUUCAGCAUCACGAAGAGCUCGGGAAUCAUUUUCUUCAUCCCUUGCAUACUAUAGUUCAUCACGAAGUUCCAGUAACUUGGUGAUGGUGACUAGAGAACUCUGUCAAUCACUAUCUUAUCCGAAAGAUUAACUCCCAUUUGAUUCAAGCGAUUGUAGUACUCAGAGAAUCUAAGCACUUGCUCACUAGUUGAGCAAUUCUCCUCCAUGUUUUAGGUGAAGUAUUUGUCAUAGGUCUCAUACCUCUUGACACGGGCAUUAGUCUGAAAUACCAAUUUCAACUCUUGGAACAUCUCAUAUGCUCAAUGACGUUUCAAAAACAUUUUGAAGUCCUGGUUCUAAGCCGUAAAGUGUGGUGCACUAAACUAUCAAGUAGUCAUCAUAUUGAGCUAGCCAAACGUUCAUAACGUCUGCAUCUUCUCCUGCAAUAGGUUUGUCACCUAGCGGUGCAUCAAGGACAUAAUUCUUCUGUGCAGCAAUGAGGAUAAACCUCAGCUCAUAGACACAGUCCGCAUCAUUGCUACUAUCAUCUUUCAACUUAGUUUUCUCUAGGAACAUAUAAAAAACAUAGGGAAGCAACAACGCGAGCUAUUGAUCUACAACAUUAUUUGCAAAAUACUACCAGGACUAAGUUCAUGAUAAAUUUUAGUUCAAUUAAUCAUAUUACUUAAGAACUCCCACUUAGGAUAGACAUCCCUCUAAUCAUCUAAGUGAUCACGUGAUCCAAAUCAACUAAACCAUAACCGAUCAUCACGUGAAAUGGAGUAGUUUUCAAUGGUGAAUAUCACUAUGUUGAUCAUAUCUACUAUAUGAUUCAUGCUCGACCUUUCGGUCUUAGUGUUUCGAGGCCAUAUCUGCAUAUCCUAGGCUCGUCAAGUUUAACCUGAGUAUUCUGCGUGUGCAAAACUGGCUUGCAGCCGUUGUAGAUGGACGUAGAGCUUAUCACACCCGAUCAUCACGUGGUGUCUGGGCACGACGAACUUUGGCAACGAUGCAUACUCAGGGAGAACACUUUUAUCUUGAAAUUUAGUGAGAGGUCAUCUUAUAAUGCUAUCGUCAAUCAAAGCAAGAUAAGAUGCAUAAAGGAUAAACAUCACAUGCAAUCAAUAUAAGUGAUAUGAUAUGGUCAUCAUCAUCGUGUGCUUGUGAUCUCCAUCUCCGAAGCACCGUCAUGAUCACCAUCGUCACCGGCGUGACACCUUGAUCUCCAUCAUAGCAUCGUUGUUGUCUCACCAACUAUUGCUUCUACGACUAUCGCUACCGCUUAGUGAUAAAGUAAAGAAAUUACAGGGCGUUUGCAUUGCAUACAAUAAAGCGACAACCAUAUGGCUCCUGCCAGUUGCCGAUAACUUGGUUACAAAACAUGAUCAUCUCAUACAAUAAAAUAUAGCAUCACGUCUUGACCAUAUCACAUCACAUCAUGCCCUGCAAAAACAAGUUAGACGUCCUCUACUUUGUUGUUGCAAGUUUUACGUGGCUGCUACGGGCUGAGCAAGAACCAUUCUUACCUACACAUCAAAACCACAACGAUAGUUUGUCAAGUUAGUGCUGUUUUAACCUUCUCAAGGACCGGGCAUAGCCACACUCAGUUCAACUAAAGUUGGAGAAACUGACACCCGCUAGCCACCUAUGUGCAAGGCACGUCGGUAGAACCAGUCUCGCGUAAGCGUACGCGUAAUGUCGUUCCAGGCCGCUUCAUCCAACAAUACUGCCGAACCAAAGUAUGACACGCUGGCAAGCAGUAUGACUUGUAUCACCCACAACUCACUUGUGUUCUACUCGUGCAUAUAACAUCUACGCAUAAAACCAGGCUCGGAUGCCACUGUUGGGGAACGUAGUAAUUUCAAAAAAAAUUCCUACGCACACAUAGGAUCAUGGUGAUGCAUAGCAACGAGAGGGGAGAGUGUGUCCACGUACCCUCGUAGACCGAAAGCGGAAGCAUUAGCACAACGCGGUUGAUGUAGUCGUACGUCUUCACGAUCCGACUGAUCAAGUACCGAACACAAGGCACCUCCGAGUUCAGCACACGUUCAACUCGAUGAUGUCCCUCGAACUCCGAUCCAGCCGAGCUUUGAGGGAGAGUUCCGUCAGCACGACGGCGUGGUGAUGAUGAUGAUGUUCUACCGACGCAGGGCUUUGCCUAAGCACCGUUACAAUAUUAUCGAGGUGGAUUAUGGUGGUGGGGGCACCGCACACGGCUAAGAGAUCCAAGAGAUCAAUUGUUGUCUCUAUGGGGUGCCCCCCUCCUCCGUAUAUAAAGGAGGGGAGGAGAGGGCCGGCCAGGAGGUGGAGGCGCGCCCAAGGGGGGGAGACCUACUCCCACCGGGAGUAGAACUCCUCCUUUUCCUACUUGGAGAGGGAGAGGGAAGGAAGAGGAAGGAGGGAGGAAGGAAAGGGGGGCUGCUACGUCUUGAGCUUGUGUUGGUUUUCCUUGAAGAGGAAAGGGUGACGCAGCAAUAGUAGCGUAAGUAUUUCCCUCGGUUUUUGAGAACCAAGGUAUCAAUCCAGUAGGAGGCUCCUCAAAUGUCCCACGACCUACACAAAUAAACAAAGAACUCGCAACCAAUGCAAUAAAGGGGUUGUCAAUCCCUUCACGGCCACUUGCAAAAGUGAGAUCUGAUAGAGAUAAUAUGAUAAGAUAAAUAUAUUUUUGGUAUUUUAUAAUAUAGAUGCAGAAAGUAAAGAUGCAAAUAAAAGUAGAUUGAAAGCUUACAUGAUAAAAGAUAGACCCGGGGGCCAUAGGUUUCACUAGUAGCUUCUCUCAAGAUAGCAUAAGUAUUACGGUGGGUGAACAAAUUACUGUCGAGCAAUUGAUAGAAAAGAGAAUAAUUAUGAGAUUAUCUAGGCAUGAUCAUGUAUAUAGGCAUCACGACCGUGACAAGUAGACCGACUCCUGCCUGCAUCUACUACUAUUACUCCACACAUCGACCGCUAUCCACCAUGCAUCUAGAGUAUUAAGUUCAUAAGAACAGAGUAACGCAUUAAGAAAGAUGACAUGAUGUAGAGGGAUAAACUCAAGCAAUAUGAUAUAAACCCCAUCUUUUUAUCCUCGAUGGCAACAAUACAAUAUGUGCCUUGCAACCCUUUCUGUCACUGGGUAAGGACACCGCAAGAUUGAACCCAAAGCUAAGCACUUCUCCCAUGGCAAGAAAGAUCAAUCGAGUAGGCCAAACCAAACUGAUAAUUCGAAGAGACUUGCAAAGAUAACUCAAUCAUACAUAAAAGAAUUCAGAGAAGAUUCAAUUAUUUCUCAUAGAUAAACUUGAUCACAAACCCACAAUUCAUCGGAUCUCGACAAACACACCGCAAAAAGAGUUUACAUCAAAUAGAUCUCCACAAGAGAGGGGGAGAACAUUGUAUUGAGAUCCAAAAAGAGAGAAGAAGCCAGCUAGCUAAUAACUAUGGACCCAAAGGUCUAUGGUAAACUACUCACAACUCAUCGAAAGGGCUAUGGUGUUGAUGUAGAAGCCCUCCAUGGUGGAUUCCCCCUCCGGCAGAACGCCGGCGACGGCUCCAAGAUGGGAUCUCGCGGGUACAGAAGGUUACGGUGGCGGAAAUAUUUCUUCGGUGGCUCCUUGUAUGUUUUCGGGGUACGGAGGUAUAUAUAGGAGGAAGAAGUACGUCGGUGGCCGCUCGAGGGGCCCAAGAGACAGUGGGGCGCGCCCAGAAGGAGUGGGCGCGCCCUCCUAUCUCCUGGCCGCCUUGAUUGCUUCUUGACUUGCACUCCAAGUCCUCUGGAUCAUGUUCGUUCCAAAAAUCACGCUCCCAAAGGUUUCGUUCUGUUUGGACUCCGUUUGAUCCUUUUCUUCGAAAUACUGAAAUAGGCAAAAAAAAGCAAUACGGGCUGGGCCUCCGGUUAGUAGGUUAGUCCCAAAAAUGAUAUAAAUAUGUAAAAUAAAGCCCAUAAACAUCCAAAAGGGGUAAUAUAAUAGCAUGGAACAAUCAAAAAUUAUAGAUACGUUGGAGACAUAUCACCUCCCCCCUCCCAAUUCGGAUUGGGCUUGGGCGGGGGGGGGCCCUCCCUUGCUCCUUUCCCCUAAAGCCCAUUAAGGCCCAUAUACCUCCCGGGGGGGGGGGGUUCCGAUAACCUCCCGGUGCUCCGGUAUUAUCCUGAUCUCACCCGGAACCAUUCCGGUGUCCAAAUAUAGUCGUCCAAUAUAUUGAUCUUUACAUCUCGACCAUUUCGAGACUCCUCGUCAUGUCCGUGAUCACAUCCAGGGCUCCGAACUACCUUCGGUACAUCAAAACACAUAAACUCAUAAUAUAACCGUCAUCAAACUUUAAGCGUGCGGACCCAACGGGUUCGAGAACUAUGUAGACAUGACCGAGACACGUCUCCGAUCAAUAACCAAUAGCGGAACUUGGAUGCUCAUAUUGGCUCCCACAUAUUCUAUGAAGAUCUUUAUCGGUCAAACCGCAUAACAACAUACGUUGUUCCCUUUGUCAUCGGUAUGUUACUUGCCCGAGAUUCGAUCGUCGGUAUCUCAAUACCUAGUUCAAUCUCAUUACUGGCAAGUCUCUUUACUCGUUCCGUAAUACAUCAUCUCGCAACUAACUCAUUAGUUGCAAUGCUUGCAAGGCUUAUAUUUAUGUGCAUUACCGAGUGGGCCCAGAGAUACCUCUCUGACAAUCGGAGUGACAAAUCCUAAUCUCGAAAUACGCCAACCUAACAAGUACCUUUGGAGACACCUGUAGAGCACCUUUAUAAUCACCCAGUUACGUUGUGACGUUUGGUAGCACACAAAGUGUUCCUCCGGCAAACGGGAGUUGCAUAAUCUCAUAGUCAUAGGAACAUGUAUAAGUCAUGAAGAAAGCAAUAGCAACAUACUAAACGAUCAAGUGCUAAGCUAACGGAAUGGGUCAAGUCAAUCACAUCAUUCUCCUAAUGAUGUGAUCCCGUUAAUCAAAUGACAAUUCAUGUCUAUGGCUAGUCAAGUAGAGGCAUACUAGUGACACUCUGUUUGUCUAUGUAUUCACACAUGUACUAACUUUCCGGUUAAUACAAUUCUAGCAUGAAUAAUAAACAUUUAUCAUGAAAUAAGGAAAUAAAUAAUAACUUUAUUAUUGCCUCUAGGGCAUAUUUCCUUCAGUCUCCCACUUGCACUAGAGUCAAUAAUCUAGUUCACAUCACCAUGUGAUUUAACACAAAUAUUCACAUCUGUAUGUGAUUAACACCCAUAGCUCAUAUCGUCAUGUGACUAACACCCAAAGGGUUUACUAGAGUCAAUAAUCUAGUUCACAUUGUUAUGUGAUUAACACCCAAAGAGUACUAAGUUGUGAUCAUGUUUUUCUCAUGAGAGAAGUUUAGUCAACGGUAAACGGGAGUUGCAUAAUCUCAUAGUCAUAGGAACAUGUAUAAGUCAUGAAGAAAGAAAUAGCAACAUACUAAAUGAUCAAGUGCUAAGCUAACGAGAGUGGGUCAAGUCAAUCACAUCAUUCUCCUAAUGAUGUGAUCCCAUUAAUCAAAUGACAACUCAUGUAUAUAGCUAGGAAACUUAACCAUCUUUGAUAUGAUUCAACGAGCUAGUCAAGUAGAGGCAUACUAGUGACACUCUAUUUGUCUAUGUAUUCACACAUGUACUAAGUUUCCGGUUAAUACAAUUCUAGCAUGAAUAAUAAACAUUUAUCAUGAAAUAAGGAAAUAAAUAAUAACUUUAUUAUUGCCUCUAGGGCAUAUUUCCUUCAGGAGCAUGUGCGUAAUGCUUGGUUUUUGAUGACUUGUAGAUUUUUGUAAUAAGUAUAUGAAUUAUUUAUGACUAAUGUUGAGUCCAUGGAUUAUACGCACUCUUUCCCUUCCACCAUUGCUAGACUUUCUUGUGCCACGCAACUUUCGCCUGUACCAUACACCUACCAUAUACCUUCCUCAAAACAGCCACCAUACCUACCUAUUAUGGCAUUUCCAUAGCCAUUCUGAGAUAUAUUGCCAUGCAACUUUUCACUGUUCCGUUUAUUAUGACACGCAUCAUCAUUGCCAUAUUGCUCUUGCAUAAUCAUGUAGUUGACAUCGUAUUUGUGGCAAGGCCACCCUCAUGAUUUUCAUACAUGUCGCUCUUGGUUCAUUGCAUAUCCCGGUACACCGCCGGAGGCAUUCAUAUAGAGUCAUAUCUUGUUCUAAGUAUCGAGUUGUAAUCUUGAGUUGUAAGUAAAUAAAAGUGUGAUGAUCUUCAUUAUUAGAGCAUUGUCCCAAGUGAGGAAAGAACGAUGGAGACUAUGAUUCCCCCAUAAGUCGGCAUGAGACUUCAGACUUUACAAAAAAAGAGAAAGGCCAUAUUAAAAAAAGGCCAAAUAAAAAAAUGAGAGAAAAAGAGAGAAGGGAAAAUGCUACUAUCCUUUGACCACACUUGUGCUUUAAAGUAGCACCAUGAUCUUCAUAAUAGAGAGUCUACUAUGUUGUCACUUUCAUAUACUAGUGGGAAUUUUUCAUUAUAGAACUUGGCUUGUAUAUUCCAACGAUGGGCUUCCUCAAAACGCCCUAGGUCUUUGUGAGCAAGCAAGUUGGAUGCACACCUACUUAGUUCUUUUUGUUGAGCUUUCAUACAUUUAUAGCUCUAGUGGAUCUGUUGCAUGGCAAUCCCUACUCACUCACAUUGAUAUCUAUUAAUGGGCAUCUCCAUAGCCCGUUGAUACGCCUAGUGGAUGUGAGACUAUCUUCCUCUUUUUUGUCUUCCCCACAACCACCAUUCUAUUCCACAUAUAGUGCUAUGUCCAUGGCAAACGCUCAUGUAUUGCGUGAAAGUUGAAAAAGUUUGAGAAUACUAAAGUAUGAAACAAUUUCUUGGAUUAUCAUCGGGGUUGUGCAAGAUUAAAUACUUUGUGUGAUGAAGAUAGAGCAUAGACAGACCAUAUGAUAUUGUAGGGAUAGCUUUCUUUAGCCAUGAUAUUUUGAGAAGACAUGAUUACUUUGUUAGUAUGCUUGAAGUAUUAUUGUUUAUCAUGUCAAUAUGAACUUUUAUUUUGAAUCAUUUGGACCUGAACAUUCAUGACACAAUAAAGAAAAUUACAUUGAGAAUUAUGCUAGGUAGCAUUCCACAUCAAAAAUUCUGUUUUUAUCAUUUACCUACUCGAGGACGAGCAGGAAUUAAGCUUGGGGAUGCUUGAUACGUCUCCAGCGUAUCUAUAAUUUUUUAUUGUUCCAUGCUAUUAUAUUACCUGUUUUGGAUGUUUAUGGGCUUUAAUUUACACUUUUGUAUCAUUUUUGGGACUAACCUAUUAACCGAAGGCCCAGACCGAAUUGCUAUUUUUUUUGCCUAUUCAGUGUUUCGAAGAAAAGGAAUAUCAAACGGAGUCCAAACGGGAUGAAACCUUCGGGAGCGAUCUUUUUGGAACAAAUGCAAACCAGGGGACUUGGAGUGGACGUCAAGCAAUGAGCGAGGCAGUCACGAGGGUGCCCGGCGCGCCCUGUAAGGGUGGGCGCGCCCCUCACCCUCGUGGGCCCCUCGAGCAUCCACCGACCUACUUCUUCCUCCUAUAUAUAUCUACGUACCCCGAAACCAUCUAGAAGCACCACGAAAACCUAAUUCCACCGCCGCAACCUUCUGUAUCCGCGAGAUCCCAUCUUGGAGCCUUCGUCGACGCUCCGCCGGAGGGGGAAUCGACCACGGAGGGCCUCUACAUCAUCUCCAAGGCCUCUCCGAUGAGUUGUGAGUAGUUUACCAUAGACCUUCGGGUCCAUAGUUAUUAGCUAGAUGGCUUCUUCUCUCUCUUUGAUUCUCAAUACAAAGUUCUUCUUCCUCUUCUUGGAGAUCUAUUCGAUGUAACUCUUUUUGCGGUGUGUUUGUCAAGAUCCGAUGAAUUGUGGGUUUAUGAUCAAGUUUAUCUAUGAGAAAUAUUUGAAUCUCCUCUGAAUUCUUUUAUGUAUGAUUGGUUAUCUUUGCAAGUCUCUUCGAAUUAUCAGUUUGGUUUGGCCUACUAGAUUGAUCUUUGUUGCCAUGGGAGAAGUGCUUAGCUUUGGGUUCAAUCUUGCGUUGUCCUUUCCCAGUGGCAGCAGGGGCAGCAAGGCAUGUAUUGUAUUGUUGCCAUCGAGGAUAAAAAGAUGGGGUUUAUAUCAUAUUGCAUGAGUUUAUCCCUCUACAUCAUAUCAUCUUGCUUAAUGCGUUACUCUGUUCUUAUGAACUUAAUACUCUAGAUGCAGGCAGGAGUCAGUCGAUGUGUGGAGUAAUAGUAGUAGAUGCAGAAUCGUUUCGAUCUACUUGUUGCGGACGUGAUGCCUAUAUACAUGAUCAUGCGUAGAUAUUCUCAUAACUAUGCACUUUUCUAUCAAUUGCUCGACAAUAAUUUGUUCACCCACCGUAAUACUUAUGCUAUCUUGAGAGAAGCCACUAGUGAAACCUAUGGCCCCCGGGUCUAUCUUUUAUCAUAUAAGUUUUCCAUCUACUUUUAUUUGCAUCUUUUACUUUCCAAUCUAUAUCAUAAAAAUACCAAAAAUAUUUAUCUUAUCAUAUUAUCUCUAUCAGAUCUCACUUUUGCAAGUUUCCGUGAAGGGAUUGCCAACCCCUUUAUCGCGUUCGUUGUGAGGUUCUUGUUUGUUUGUGUAGGCGCGUGGGACUUGUGAGGAGCCUCCUACUGGAUUGAUACCUUGGUUAUCAAAACUGAGGGAAAUACUUACGCUACUUUGCUGCAUCACCCUUUCCUCUUUAAGGGAAAAACCAACGCAUGCUCAAGAGGUAGCAAUGGCAAGGCGGAAUAACAGCAAACCAGUGUCCACUUGUUUUAGGAGUAGUAACUACUCCCUCCGUUACAAAGUUGAGUCAUCUAUUUUGGAACGAAGGGAGUAGUAUCGAGUCAAUUGGGCAGCUUUGGUUGUGAGAACUGAAUUACGGAUGUUGCAGAUUUUGGCAAACUGAGAUCUAAGAGUGCUGGUGUUUUGUACUCUUCUGAACUAAACUCUACCAUGUUUGGCCAUUUGCAGUUCAAUGUUUUAGGAGUUUGUAUUACGGAAUUAUCUGCAAGUAGUUGUAUUAUUGUUACUGAUUGCUUUAUGUGAUUUAGUUUGUACUCUCUCCAUAAAGAAAUACAAGAGCAUUUAGAUCACUAUCUAAACACUCUUAUAUUUCUUUACAGAGGGAGUACUAACUAAUCUCUGCUACAUGAUUGUGCUUUCGUACCAAUCCAAGUUUCCAGAAUCCUGAUAUUCUACAUUAGGUGCAGAACUCUGUAGAACCCCUUUCGGCAGGUGGAAGAAUGACAACAUAUAUAAAACCAUGUUUCUUAGGACAGAAUUGAUUAAGAUCAAUCGCCCCCCGAAAGACAAGAGUUUGGCCUUCCAACUGGCUAAACGUUUGUCAAGUCUCUCUUGCACAUGCUUCCACUCAGCAAUAGUUAAACGCCGAUAGUGUAUGGGAAUACCCAGGUACCGAAUCGGAAACUGCCCGAGCUAGCAUCCAAAAAUCUCAGCAUACUCAGGUGCUGAUUCUGCAGCAUCGUUGUUGGGGAUAUUACCACUAGGCGUAAACCGGCCUACUUGGGCCGGGUUAAAUUCAUUAGUGGUAUAAGCAGAUGAAGGCCCAAGGCCUAUAGUCGGUUUAGAAUCUGUAGCCAGAAACUGACCUGAUGUAUAACUUGUAUUGUAAGUUAGGAAUAGAGAGAUACCAACCGGGAUACGAGUAUGAACCGGUUGGGACUCUAUGGACCGACGGGCGUCACCUGUGUAUAUAAGGGGACGACCCGGCGGCGGUUCAGGACAGAUAACCACAACUCGAGCCUAGGCGAAGCUUGUUUUGCUCCCUAGCCAUCGAGAUCACAUCAAUUCCAUCACAACUAGACAUAGGCUUUUACCUUCAUCGAAGGGGCCGAACUAGUAUAAACCCUCGUGUCUUUGUGUCCGCUUUAAACCCCUUCAAGUAAACCCGCAGCGAUGGCUCCACGACUAAGUCCUUUCACUAGGACGUCUGUCGUGACAAAUCCAUGAUAGUUGGCGCCCACCGUGGGGCCAUCGCACGAUGGUUUGACGAUCUUGGAGGGCAAGCUCAAAGGACUCGAAGGCUAUGCUGUGGGCCAGAUGACCAAGAGUCGUCGUGGCAAGAUCUACAUCGACGACGCAGGAUGGGGUCCCGAGGCCGAUUCGAUUGAGUACGGGUACCGGGUCCCCUUUGGUGGCAUACACGUUUUCAUCGGCAAGAUCGGUGAGCCGGGGCCUGAGCCGGACAUCUGCAUCGACCUCGUCGAGACGGCUCAGCGUGCGAGAUCUACCCAGGCUAAACCGGCCGUGAAGCGUGCCUUCGUUGGAGUCAUCCAUGGAGGAGGGCGUGAGGACGAGUCAGAACACGGUAGCAAGGCCGUCGUCUAUUCCGGCGACGAGUCCUCGACCGGAGAGACCGAAUCACUAUACCAGUUACAAGACGACCAGGUUAGGGGCUGUUCCGAUGGCGACAGUAUUCCGGACCCCCCAGGCCAGGUCAACCGGGUUGGAAUAUUCAUGGCCGGCACACAGGCGGCGAAUCACUCUUCGACCGCCGCGGCAAUGCUCUCCAGAUCAGCAGGAGCAGGAGGCCUUGUGCGCCCGCUGGUUCAAGUUCUAUCUGAUCUAUUUGAUACACUAGCCGCGCUCAUGGCAGAGGACAAUCCGGCGGAUCAGGAGGCCCAUAAUACAGAAAUUGCAAAGGUGAGAGAGCAGAUCGUGCAAGCCAAAGCGGGUCUGGCCGCAGAAAAAGACAGGAUGGCCGCAGAGCGGGCCGCUUUGGACGCCCAGGCUUAUAAGCUCAUGCUUGACCAGAACGCGUCACAGGAGGUCUUAAAGCGGAAGCACAGGUCACGCCUGCCGUUAGGGUUUGAUCCCCGGAAUCUCUUUCACACUCCAGGAGCUGGACCCAGUAAUCCGCCGCGACACCUGGAGACAAACCGGAUUGAGGCACCAGGACCAGGGGGGGCGGUCCAACCACGCCUGAUGGAACCUCCUCCGCAGAACAUUGUGAUUUUUCCGCCGGUCCAAACGCCCCCAGGUCAUUAUUCUAAUCCUAUGGACAACCUUGUUGCGGCCGCCGCACGAUUAGAGGCCAUCCCAGUCGAAGGGGACUCUCCGCAAGCGAUAGAGACGCGCCGGGUUAAAGAGCUUCUCCGGACCGUGCUGAUUCAGCAGGAAGCAUACUCGUACAGCCGUGAUCGGAUUCACUCUACGCCCCGUCCAAGCCGGAGCUAUAGCAGGCGCAUGGAUGAACCGACCAUAUCGAGCAAUGCGCGAGGCCGUGAAGCAGCCCAUGGCAAUAGCCCAGCAGGCGGUGUUCGCGAUGCUCAGGAUGUGGUGGACCGGGCCCGGGCACGGAGGGAAGCCGAGUUAGCAGCACAGGAUGAUGCGGAUCAACUUACACCGGUUCUCCCUACCACCUUCGCCGGACCAGGAGUCGCAUCUGCUUUGGGAGUGCCUUGUUUAAUCCCCGCUUUACGCAAUGUGCGCCUGCCCAAAGAUUUCAAGGGUCCACGCAAGGUGCCGAAUUACACUGCUGAUUUAUCCCCUGAAGCGUGGAUAGAGAGUUAUGAGAUGGCCAUGGAGAUGUUAGACGUGGAUGAGACCGCGUGUGCAAAAUACUUCACCAUGAUGCUUGAAGGCAUGGCGCGUACCUGGUUGAAGAGCCUACUGCCUAAUUCUGUCAGCUCAUGGGCCCAGUUGCGGGCCCGGUUUAUCCAGAAUUUCAAGGAUACGUGUAAACAGCCCAAAUCCAUAGUAGACCUGGCGGCUUGUGUCCAAGGGGAAGGAGAAUCAACGACCCAUUGGGUGCGCCGCGUUUCGGAAAUUUUGCACUCGUCCGACAGAAUUAAUGCUGACUCUGCGAUCUUAACCCUGGAAGGCAACUGCCGGUUUGAGCCUUUAAAAUUGAAAUUGGGACGCAUGAAGCGGUUCUGUAAUGACAUGGGAACCCUCAUGGCCGCUCUAGUGAAGUAUGUUGAUUCGGACAGUACCAAGGAUCCCGAGACUGAUGAUGAUGAAGCAGGGAAGGGAAGGAAGAAUAGCAACUCCAAACAGCAGCAGUAUAAACCGGCGGGUCAUGGAAACGGAGGCAAGCGCAAGGCGGAUGGCAGCAUGGACUUUGUGGCCAACACUAAUGCACAGGACAGGGGGCAGCGGCGUAGAGGUAAAGCGGCAAAUCGUAAUGGGGCUCCCAAUCCUAACGCAAGCCGCUUGAGUUAUUUGAUGAAUCAGCCUUGCCCGAAGCACGGGACGAAGGAGGCACCGGCUAACCAUCUUUGGAAGGAUUGUUACAUCAUGCAGGAGUUUAAAAACUCUAAUGCCUUCCGGUAUGAUCACGGGUCAGGUGGCGGUUCAGGAUCCAGUUUUCGUGGGCCGGAUCACGAUGGAGCUUCCGGUUCAGGUCGCAAUCAGGGCGGUCACAAUCACCAGAAUUAUCAGAACGGCCAGCAGCAGCAGCAGCAGUCGGGUUAUCAGAGCCAGCCAAAACAGUUGAACAAUGGGCAAUAUCAUGUUUUCACAACUAGCUUGGAUAAACGCGACCGAAAACUCCACAAGCGAGCGGUGAAUUCUGCUGAACCGGCCUUACCACGUAACUUGCGCUGGUCGGAACAGCCUAUCGUGUGGAGCAGAGAGGAUCACCCGCCCCGGGUUGAUAAUCCGGGCCAGCUAGCAUUAGUGGUGGACCCUCAGGUGGGGGGUUAUAAAUUCACCAAGGUACUCAUGGAUGGAGGAAGCAGUAUUAACAUACUAUACUAUGAGACAUUCCGUCGCAUGGGUUUAACAGACAAAGAUCUCAGACCAUCUAAUACGGUGUUCCAUGGUGUGGUGCCUGGCAAAUCUGCAUAUCCUGUUGGUAAGAUAGCCCUGGACGUGGCUUUUGGGGACGAGCACGACUCCCGGUCGGAAAAACUAACAUUGGAGGUGGUGAAGAUCCGGAGCCCAUAUCAUGCCUUGUUUGGUCGGCCGGCUUACGCCAAGUUCAUGGCGCGGCCUUGUUAUAUCUACUUGCAGCUCAAAAUGCCGGGUUACAAGGGGACAAUAACGGUUCAUGGGAGCCAUAGGGUCGCUUUGGAAUGUGAGGAAGGUGAUGCGGCUUAUGCAGAGUCGGUCUGUGCCACGGAGGAGUUGAAGUAUUAUAAGGACAAUGUUGAUCCAGCGGAUAUGACUCCUUUGAAGAAGCCAACUACAGAGCAUGAUUCGGAUCUAAAGUUCAAAUCGGCAGCUGAGACCAAGCUUGUUGACUUCGUGCCCGGCGAUUCAUCCAAGCAGUUCACUGUCAGUGCCAUUUUGGAUCCCAAAUAGGAAAGCGCGCUCAUCGAGUUCAUCCGUGAGAAUCGGGACAUCUUCGCAUGGAAGCCAUCCGACAUGCCAGGUGUACCGAGGGAACUCGCUGAGCACACUCUUAAUGUGGAUCCUAGGUAUAAACCGGUGAAGCAAUUCCUACGCCGGUUUAACGAAGAAAGGCGAAAGGCCAUUGGAGAGGAAGUGGCCAGGCUUUUGGCAGCUGGCUUUAUCAUUGAGGUGUUCCAUCCAGAGUGGCUUGCUAAUCCGGUGCUGGUUCUUAAGAAAAAUGGCACUUGGCGUAUGUGUGUGGAUUACACAAAUCUUAACAGGGCCUGUCCAGCGGAUCCUUUUGCCCUCCCCCGCAUUGACCAGAUCAUUGAUGCCACGGCGGGUUGUGAGCGUUUGAGUUUUUUGGAUGCAUACUCUGGAUAUCAUCAGAUCAAAAUGGCGGUUAAGGACCAGGAGAAAACAGCGUUUAUUACUCCCUUUGGAGCCUUCUGCUAUGUAUCUAUGCCCUUCGGACUCAAGAGUGCCCAAGCCAUCUAUCAACGGUGUGUACAGAACUGCCUGCAUAAGCAGAUCGGCCGCAAUGUGCACGCCUAUGUGGAUGAUAUUGUAGUGAAAUCAAGGCAGAAGGAGACGCUGGUGGAUGACUUGAAGGAAACCUUUGACAACUUGCGGGUUUACAAGAUGAUGCUUAAUCCGGCCAAGUGUGUCUUUGGUGUUCCAGCAGGCAAGUUACUAGGUUUCCUGGUGUCUAAUAGAGGAAUUGAGGCUAAUCCGGAGAAGAUUACAGCUAUCACCUCCCUGGCUAAACCGAAGUGCAUCAAUGAUGUUCAGCGCUUGGCGGGCCGAAUCGCCGCACUAAGCCGGUUUAUCAGCCGCCUCGGAGAAAAGGCCAUUCCUUUGUACCAAAUGCUGAGGAAGACAGACCAUUUCAUUUGGAGUCCGGCUGCUGACGAAGCAUUUGAGGACUUGAAGCGGCAGUUAGCCAAUCCGCCUGUCCUUGCAGCUCCGGUCGACAAGGAGCCACUAUUAUUAUACGUAGCAGCCAAUGCUCGGGCAGUUAGCGUGGCUAUUGUGGUGGAACGCAAGGAGGCAGGCAAGGAGUAUCCGGUUCAGCGGCCGGUUUAUUAUAUCAGCGAAGUGCUUAUUGAAUCCAAGCAAAGGUAUCCGCAUUGGCAGAAGCUGGUAUAUGGUGUUUUCAUGGCCAGUCGGAAGUUGAAGCAGUAUUUUCAAGGGCACCCCAUCACAGUGGUCAGUUCAGCUCCCUUGGGUGACAUCAUACAGAACCGGGAGGCGACUGGCCGGAUUGCCAAGUGGGCUAUAGAGCUUGGGCCACACGGACUGAAGUAUGUACCUCGGACGGCGGUGAAGUCUCAAGCACUUGUUGAUUUCAUCAAUGAUUGGACGGAGUUACAAGCACCAGAGGAGAAGCCGGAUCACACAUUGGACUAUUCAUUUUGAUGGAUCCAGGCAAUUGGAAGGCUCGGGGGCUGGAGUCGUAUUAACUUCCCCACGAGGUGAUAAGUUUUGUUAUGUUCUCCGCUUAAUGUUCCCUUGUACUAAUAAUGCAGCUGAGUACGAAGCCUUGCUCCAUGGUCUCCGGAUGGCUAAAGAGAUGAACUUAAGCCGGGUUAAGUGCUUCGGUGACUCGGACCUCGUGGCCCAACAGGUGUCUGGCACUUGGGAUUCUAAGGACCCGCUCAUGGCUGCAUAUCGUCGGGAGGUGGAUAAUAUUGCGGGUUGUUUCAAGGGUUAUCAAGUGGAUCAUGUGGACCAUCGGAAGAAUGAAGCGGCGGACGCUUUAAGCCGGUUGGGUUCUCAGCGCAAACCGGUCCCGCCUAAUGUCUUUCUGGACGUGUUGCACAACCCGUCAGUCCAGCUCCCAGGUGAAGCGGAUUUGGCCAUUCCUGAUCCGGAGGCUCAAUUGGUGGCAGCACUGCAUGCUAUUCCGGACUGAACGGUUCCUUAUCUUACGUACAUGAACCGGGGGGAGUUACCAGAGGAUGAGAUUCUAGCCAGGCAGAUAGUCCGGCGAUCCAAGUCUAUGACGAUUGUUAAUGGUGAAUUGCAUCAUUGCAGUGUAUCAGGGGCGUUUCAACGUUGUGUUUCUCCUGAGGAAGGCUGUGAAAUAUUAAGAGAAAUCCAUGAAGGAGAUUGUGGACAUCACGCCGGUUCAAAGUCUCUGGUAGCAAAGGCAUUUCGUCACGGGUUCUACUGGUUGACAGCGCAUGCUGACACGGAGGACUUGGUUAAACGGUGUGAUGGAUGUCAGAAAUUUUCAAGGCGUGCUCAUGUGCCGGCUCAAGAAUUGAGGAUGAUCCCAAUAACGUGGCCGUUUGCAACUUGGGGUUGGAUAUGGUCGGACCUUUUAAAAGAUCCAAGGAUAAGAAAACCCACCUUUUGGUGGCAGUUGAUAAAUUUACCAAGUGGGUUGAAGCGGAGCCUGUCAGCAAGUAUGAUGCAGAAACAGCAGUGCAGUUCAUCAAAAAGGUGAUUUUCCGGUUUGGUUUUCCACAUAGUAUCAUUACUGACAAUGGUACUAAUUUAUCCAAGGGCGCUAUGAAGGAGUUCUGUGAACGUGAGCACAUCCGACUUGACGUGUCGUCAGUGGCACACCCCCAGUCCAAUGGACAGGCAGAACGAGCUAAUCAGGAAAUCUUGCGAGGCAUCAAACCCCGGCUUAUGGUCCCAUUGCAAAGAACGCCAGGAUGUUGGGUUGACGAGCUACCAUCUAUGUUAUGGAGUAUCAAUACUACGCCAAACCGGUCCACAUGAUACACACCAUUUUUCAUGGUCUAUGGAGCAGAGGCAGUUCUCCCUAGUGAUAUCCGACACGAUUCGCCUCGUGUGGCAGCUUAUGUUGAAGCGGACAAUGAGACAGCACGGCAAGACGCUUUGGACCUAUUGGACGAGGAGCGUGAUAUAGCGGCUGCCCGUUCGGUGAUUUACCAGCAAGAUCUUCGUCGCUAUCACAGUCGCCGGGUUAGAACCAGAACUUUUCAAGAAGGAGAUUUGGUGCUUUGACUCAUCCAAGAUCAGACGGAUAUGCACAAGUUAUCCCCACCUUGGGAGGGACCUUUUGUGGUCAGCAAGAAUUUGCACAACGGGUCAUACUAUCUGAUUGAUAUUCGAGAGCAUAAAGACUCACGUACAUCAGAGGAGGAGACCAACAGGCCGUGGAAUAUAGCUCAUCUUCGGCCUUACUACACUUGAGCCAUCGGCUCUAUCUAUGUACAUAUCAUGACAGUGUAUAUAUUAUCUUUGAUAUAAUAAAACCGGAGCCUCAGCUAAAGCGGGGUCUCUGUCUUUCUUAUCAUGCGUGGUUACCUGGAGUGGUUCUGUUUUUAAAGCGGCCUCCGGUUUUCCCCUUGACAUUUGCUUUUUAUAUAUCACUUGGGGCCUUGGUCGUAUCCGAACCAACGCGACACCUUUUGAUAGGCGACAGCCACCAGAUCACUUGGGGACAUGGUCACGUCUGAACCAGUCACGCCUCUUGAUCGGCCUAAGGCCACAAAAUCACUUGGGGGCUUGGUCGAACCCGAACCAUUGCCACGCCUCUUGAUCUGGCAUAUAUGCCACGAAUCAUUUGGGGACCUAGCUAACUUGAAUCAUUGUCACUCCUAUUGGGGGCUUGGUCCUGUCUGACCAUGGUAACACCAUCUGAUCAGCUCAGUAUAGCAUAUUUUUUGCAAAUGGUUUUUAUCAUUGCCUUUGCUUCUAUGUUAUUUUCAUGGUUUGUUUGUUCUUUGUUUUUUGUUGGAUUUCUUUUAUGUCAACAAACACCCUUUUUCCGGUUCAGCUGAUGGAUUUGAUUCCUCUUUAAACCGGAAAAGUAUGCCUGGUUUACCUUUCUUUUACGGGAGCUGUUUUCUCCCCCCUUAUUGACGGUAAUGGUUUAUAAAACCUCCGCUUCAAGCUUGGCUAAGCCAGCUUCAUGCCCAGACAUGGCAGUUCAAAUUUUUCUGAUUGCAGGAAAUAUGAAUUGAAGUUUUUCGAACAAAAGCUUCAGUACUUAUGGGCGAAGGCAUAUUCAAGGCAGAAGUAUUAAUUAUCCUAUUACAAGGCAGCACGGUGCCCAAAUAAGAUCAUUUUUCUUUUGGAAAGAUGCCAAAGAUAGCUAUCCAAACCGGCUUCCGGUUCAAGCCUGCUCCUCAUCAUCCGCUACUUCAGCUUCCUCGUCUCUACCCAUUGGCUGGAAAUCAACAGUGGUCCAGUCGAUUCCCAUUAAAGCUUGGAAAACAGCCUCUUCAUGGAUUAGGGAAGACGGUUCAAUAUCAGGAGCGUAAGUGUGCUUACGGAUUGGCGGGAUCAGAUUCUCCGCUUCAAGAGUUGGGGCAGGCACUCGCUUAUUCUGGUCAUUAUAUUGUGCUUGAUAAUGCGUUAGGUCUGCCUCUUCAGCUAGCUGACAAGCCAGAGGGCGCACUGCACGGUUUAUUGCCCUUAAAUCCUCUUCGUUAAAUUCAGAGCCAUCUUCCUUCAGGCUAGGAUAGCCUUGAGAUGCUUCCACAGGGUCGAAAUCUGGCACCCAUGCCUUUGCCCGGAUCAAGGCGUUAAUAGCUCAGGUUCAGGCAGCAGAUUUCUUCAGUUCCUCCAUCCGGGCCGGAAGCAUCGACAACCUGUUAAUAGUGUCCUGGAUUAAAGAAGGUGUCGGGUUGUUAUGAGAGGCUGUGGUGAUGAUCCGCUGGGCUCCGGUAUAUAAUUGUUCCACUAAGGUGUAGGCAGCUUUCAGUUUCUUCCGCACAUCAUUUCCUAAGUGCCCAAUGCGUGUUCCUGCAACAAUACAUGGACGGUCUCACACCGGAUUUGCAUUACAGCAGGUUCAAAGUAUCACAGAAGUUAAAAGGAGCUUACCAAAGAUUGCAGCGGUCAUGGAGUGUAUUUGCUGUUUCACAGCCGUAAGUUCAUCCACCACCGGUUUAAGGGCAGCUUUAGCAUUUUCCGCUCUUUUGGUUAAAGCGGCCUUCUCAGUGGCCCAAUCAUCCCGCUCUUUCUUGAAGCCCUUUUUCAGCUGUUCAGCGGUGCUCAAGGCGCUGGUUAGUUCUUCCUUUGCCUUGUCUGUUUCAGCAUGUUGGGUUUUCAAGGCCUCCUGCAAAUCGGCAAUCCGGUCCUCUUUGAUUCUCACCUCAGCCUGCAUACAGACAUCAUUUAGCUUUCAACAAACGGUCCAAAGAAAUUGAAGUAUCAACCACAUAAACAAAGUUAUACGCCUGAUACUUGGGGGCUAAUGCACCUUCAAUUUUCAUCAAGUCAUUAGAUUGCAAAGUCCCAAGCUCAAUACAGGUAUUCAACUUGGCACUUGGGGGCUAAUGCACCUUCAAUUUUCAUCAAGUAUUAGAUUGCGAAGUCCCAAGUUCAAUACAUGUACUCAACUCGGCACUUGGGGGCUAAUGGCUAUUUUAUCAAAUUAUGUUCUAAGGAUAGUUUUUCUGUCCGAGCCCCGGGUUAAUUCUGCUAAGCUACAAACCGACCCUUGGGGGCUAGGAGGAUUGGUGCAAAGGCAGGCAGUAAAGAAGUAAGUUACCUCAAAUUUAUCCCUCAUCAUUUUUACCAGACCAGCUUCACAGUCACGGCUAGUAUAAAGCCGGUUUAGAUAGCCGGAAUGAAGAUAUUGGGCGCUCAGAGCAGCAUAUGUCUCCAGUUCAACAUCCCAUUUUUCUUUAUUCAGAGCGGAAAAAUCCUCUUUUAUGGUAUGCUUGGUUAAGGUGACAGGAUUCCCGGGUUCAGAGCGGCCUACACCGGUAAUCACAACAUCAUCAUCUUUGGACUCGACGGUUUGUGUUAGUGUGAUCGGUUUGUCAACAGGACUGUGGGAUUUAUCAAUCCGGACGGAGCUGACAGGCGGAUCAGCAGAGACUGAAGUAUUAAUAGGCCUCUCUUCGGGAAUAGCAUCGUCUUGUAAAGGAGGAUCAUUGGGAAUAUCCUCAGGAGCAAAUGCCUCAAGAUCUGGCAUUUUGUCAUGUUCUUGGGCUACAUCCUCUUCGGCCGCUUUAUCCAGGCGGGCUUUCUUGCUUGGUUUAGGUUUGGCCCUAAAAGAAAACCAAAGAGUCAAGGAAAAGCAUAAGCCCUUACACAAUGUAUUGGAAGCAUAUGUUCAGCUUAACUUACCCAAGAACCGUUUUUAACGGUGGCAGCUGAGUGGCCGACGAUUCACCAGAAGAUGAAUGAGAAGUAACCUGAUAAUUGGAGUCGGAUGGGUUAAGAGGUUGACGGAAGAAACCCGCUUUAGGAUGUAAAUCAACAAAAAGGUCAGAGACCUCGGAGCGGCGUUUUCGAACCGGACUGUUUGGUAAACCGGUGGAGGUAACUACCUGGCCACUGUGCCGGGUUGUGCAGCGAACUUCAUGUUGCUGCAUCUUCAUAUGAAAUUUAGGAUCCAAAUAAGCAAGAGGAUGAGAAAAUUUAACUUUCCGGUUUGCCUGUCGAGGUUUUGGCAAAGGUAAGAUUUCUGAAUCGGAAGAGAGAAUAGUUACCUCAACAAAUUCCGCAUUGCUGGCUUCAGCGUCAUCCUGACAAGCAUCAUCAUCAAUAAGGCGUGUAAAAAAUAAGCCAAGCGAGUCAAGUUCUACCUCAAGGUCCGGGUUACCCACAUCAUCAUCAAUAGCUGGGUCAGAUGAAGCGGUGGUUUUUCUCUUAUGAGCUGGCUUCUUAAUAACCUUGGUCUUGGGGCGGAUUGGCCGCCCUGUUUUCUCCGUUUUGUCUUGAGGAAGUUUCUUGCUCCAAAACGGAUUAUCGCCUUGGAUCAGCAGUAAUUAAAUGUCAAACAUAUAAAGCAGUAACCGGUUCAACAAUAGAGCAGUUAAAAUAUUACCGCUGGCGGUUUGUUGGUGGUGCAGUAAGGAGGCAGACCGGUUUGAGCACAGAGGUGCUCCGGUUCAUUCAGCAUCUUUUUCACAGAUUCUGUGACUUCGUCAUCGGGGAGUUGGAUUUUAGUGUGUCGGAGUGGGUCAUCGACACUAUCAGUAUACUUGCACAUCAAAUUGGAGCGCCGGCUCAGAGGCAGUAUGCUCCAUGAUAUCCAACAGCGUGCAAGAUCUAUUCCCGUUAAGCCGUUGGCCAUAAAAGCUCAGAGCUUGGACAGUUGCGGAGCGUAUUUAAUUCUUUCCUUGGCGCUUAGUCUUUGUGGAAAAGGGUGCGUGUUGCUGAGCCGUUCCGGACGGAAGCCAGGCAAGGGAUUUUCAUUGUCAGGGGAGGUAUCCUUGCAAUAAAACCAAGUUGCAUUCCACUCCUUGGGGUGAGUAUGGAGUUUAACAUGGGGAUAAGUGAUUUCCUUCCUCUUCUGAAUGGCCAUACCGCCCAGUUCAGUGUUGGGGCCAUCGGUGAAUUCAGUGCGACGGUUUAAAUGAAAGAGGUCUCUAAACAAUUCGACUGAAGGCUCCUCUUGAAAGUAUACCUCAGAGAGCACUUGAAAGUGGCAUAGAUUGGUAACAGAGUUGGGGACAAUAUCAUGUGGACGGAGCUGAAAAUUGGCUAACACAUCCCGGUAAAAUUUAGAGCCGGGCGGUUUGAAGCCCCGGGCCAAGUGAUCUACAAAGACCACAACCUCUCCUUCCUGGGGGGUAGGUGGACAUUCAUUUCCAGGAACCCUCCAGUGGAUUGUAUCUUUACUGUCUAAAGCGCCGAUCAAGACUAGAUCGUCCAACUGUGAUUCCGUGACGCGAGAAGGAACCCAAUUGCACUCAUACACUUGUUUGGCCAUGGCGAGAUCUACAAGAAAUAGAUGAUCCGGUUCAAGAACACGCUGGGUAAAAGAAGGUAUUGAUCUAAACUACGAUAAACCGGUCUUCCACAAUGCGGCAUCAUGUGGAUUCUGGCGGUUCAACCAGGGGACUAAUGGUAUACACCGGUUUAGUAACUUUUUUCUAUGAUAAGUUAAACCGCCUGACCUAAGCGUCGGAAGAAAUUGAAGCUAUGGACAACUAGGUAUACAGAAACAGGUUUCACAAGAUUUCAUUACAGCCAUGGAUCUACAGCGAGCUCACAAAACAGAAAAUAUUCUGAAGAGUAAGGCGGAACGGAAGUGAACCAUUGAGCGGGUAUGUGCGUGAGAUCUAUGGGCUUAGAUAAGAAAUAACAGGAGGAUGCUUAAAGAUUACUACUGAACACAGCGGGAAUUUACAGAUUCAUCCAAGAGUCGGAAUACAAGUAUGAGCAAGUGACGAACACAGCACGAACAUGGAACCCUAAGAACAGAUCUAGGUCAAUAAGAGGAGAAAGCUUACUGGGAACGGAGAAGAUGCGGAACGAUACCGCAGUACUCUGGAACGCUCAGGUUGAUGCAGCGGCCCAAGACGAAGCAGAGGUCGAUGGUGGCGGCGGAGCUCCAAGGCUGGCGAUGCGAGGAAGACGAAGAAGAAGAGAUCAGGGGAAAAGAAAGGAGAUGACCAUUCGGUCUUAUUUAUAAGGCAACGGAGUUAGGUCAAGCGCGCGGAUCCAGGAGGCGUUAUAAAUGACAAAUUUCAUGAUGACGUCAUGCCGGUUUACAACAACCAGAAAUGAUGACAUCAUGCUGGUUUACCAAUUACCAGAAGAUGUCCAAGACACAAGAUUUUGUGAAGGAUUGACAUGAACCAGUUCAAAUCAAUCUGGGGCCUAAUGUUGGGGAUAUUACCACUAGGCGUAAACCGGCCUACUUGGGCCGGGUUAACUUCGUUAGUGGUAUAAGCAGAUGAAGGCCCAAGGCCUAUAGUCGGUUUAGAAUCUGUAGCCAGAAACUGACCUGAUGUAUAACUUGUAUUGUAAGUUAGGAAUAGAGAGAUACCAACCGGGAUACGAGUAUGAACCGGUUGGGACUCUAUGGACCGACGGGCGUCACCCGUGUAUAUAAGGGGACGACCCGGCGGCGGUUCAGGACAGAUAACCACAACUCGAGCCUAGGCGAAGCUUGUUUUGCUCCCUAGCCAUCGAGAUCACAUCAAUUCCAUCACAACUAGACGUAGGCUUUUACCUUCAUCGAAGGGGCCGAACUAGUAUAAACCCUCGUGUCUUUGUGUCCGCUUUAAACCCCUUCAAGUAAACCCGCAGCGAUGGCACCACGACUAAGUCCUUUCACUAGGACGUCUGCCAUGACAAAUCCACGACAAUCGCCAAAAUAAAAAAAUCGCUCUUAUGAAAAUUAAUUUUGAGGCCAGAAAGUUCCUCAAAAGCACAUAAGAGCAGCUUGAGAUUUCUUGCCUUAUCUAGAUCAUGAUCCAUGAAGUAUCAUGUCAUCCUCAUAUUGUAGAAUGGAUAGACCAUCUUCUACCAAGUGUGGAAUGACCCCACUAAUUUGACCAUCCAGCUUAGCCCGCUCAACAAGGGUAGCUAGCAUGUCGGCCACAAUGUUAAACAUAAUAGGAGAUGCAGGGUCGCCUUGACAAAGCCCCUUCCUUGUCUGAAAAUAGUUGUCAACGUCAUCGUUAACUUUUAUGGCCACACUACCUCCAGAGACAAAGCUCUCUACCCAACGACACCAUUUUUGUUAAAACACCUUCAUGCGCAAGGUUUGCAACAGGAAGGGCCACUUAACUUUAUCGUAGGCUUUCUCAAAAUCAAUUUUAAGAAUGACACCGUUCAAAUUUUUCUGGUGCAGUUCAUGUACAGUUUCGUGCAGGAUGACAACUCCAUCUAAUAUGUUGCAGCCUUGCAUAAAUGUUGUUUGAGUGGGUUUACGACAUGAUCAGCUAUACCAUUCAACCGAUUAGUCGCUACCUUCAUAAAAAAUUUAAAACUUACAUUCAUAAGGCAAAUCGGUCGAUAUUGUUGAAUACGACUAGCCUCCUUAAUCUUAGGCAAUAGGAUAAUUUCCCCAAAGUUUAAACGAGAAAUAUCAAGGUCCUCGGAAUGCAGUUGAUUAAACAACUGAACCAAGUCUGCCUUAAUCGCGUCCCAAAAGCAUUGAUAGAACUCUGCGGGAAAGCCAUCCGGUCCCGGUGCCUUCUUGUGUUCCAUCUGAAACACCGCAGUUCGAAUUUCCUCCUUAGAAAACGGAGAGGUUAGGAAUUCAUUUUCCGCUUCCGUAACUUGAGUAAUGUCAUGAGUAACGGAUUCGUCUAGCUGAAAAUUAGUUUCAGCUGAAGUCCCAAAAAGGUAUUUAUAAAACUUAGUGAUGAAAUUUCUAAGUGGUACGUCCCCCUCUAUUCGGCCUUCCUCCUCGUCAAGGGCGAAUAACGCUUCUUUCUAUGUCUGCCAUUGGCUAGCAUUUGAAAGUAUUUCGUAUUAUCAUCACCUUGCACCAGCGAAUCCGCCUUGCUAUGUUGGUAUGAUAACCCACAAGUAUAGGGGAUCAAUUGUAGCAUCUUUCGAUAAGUAAGAGUGUCGAACCCAAUGAGGAGCUAAAGGUAGAACAAAUAUUCCCUCAAGUUCUAUCGACCAUCGAUACAACUCUACGCACGCUUGAUGUUCGCUUUACCUAGAACAAGUAUGAAACUAGAAGUACUUUGUAGGUGUUGUUGGAUAGAAUUGCAAGAUAAUAAAAUGCACGUAAAUAAAAAGUAGGGGCUGUUUAGAUAAAGAAACAAUAAAGUAAAUAUAGCGACUGUGGAAAAGUGGUGGUAGGAGUUGUGAAAUUCUCCCUAAGCAAUUGACUACUUUACUAGACCGAUAGCAAGUUUUAUGUGGGAGAGGCAUAAGCUAACAUACUUUCUCUUCUUGGAUCAUAUGCACUUAUGAUUGGAACUCUAGCAAGCAUCCACAACUAUUAAAGAUCAUUAAGGAAAAACCCAACCAUAGCAUUAAAGUAUCAAGUCCCCUUUAUCCCAUACGCCGCAACCCCCUUACUCGGGUUUAUGCUUCUGUCACUCAAGCAACCCACUAUAAGCGAAUCAUGAACGUAUUGCAACACCCUACAACGGGAAUCCCUCACGCUUGCGUGACACGGAGGGCACAAUAGGACAGCAACAUAACCACAAGCAAAUUAAACCAAUCAUAGCAAUUCAUCAAUCACCGGUAGGACAACGAAAAUCUACUCAGACAUCAUAGGAUGGCAACACAUCAUUGGAUAAUAAUAUGAAGCAUAAAGCACCAUGUUCAAGUAGAGGGUUCAGCGGGUUGCAGGACAGUGGACCGCUGAAUAUAGAUGGGGGAAGGUGAUGGAGAUGUUGGUGAAGAUGAUGGAGGUGUUGGUGUAGAUCGCGGUGAUGAUGAUGGCCCCCGGCGGUGUUCCGGCGCCAUCGGAAGCGAGGGGGGGAGAGCCCCCCUUCUUCUUCUUCUUCCUUGACCUUCUUCCUAGAUGGGAGAAGGGUUUCCCCUCUGGUCCAUGGUCUCCAUGGCGUGGGAGGGGCGAGAGCCCCUCCGAGAUUGGAUCUGUCUCUCUGUCUCUCUCUGUUUCUGCGUUCCCAGAUUCUGCCCUUUCACCGUUUCUUUUAUAUCCAGAGAUCCGUAACUUCAAUUGAAUUGAAACCUUCGCCCAGAUUUUUCUCCGAAAAUUAGCUUCCUUGCGGCAAAAGAAGAGCGUCAACCGCCUUACAGGGUGCCCACGAGGGUCAGGGGCACGCCCCCUGCCUCGUGGCCCCCCUCGGGCACCAUCUCGCGUUGGUUUUUCUUCCCAAAAAUCAUAAAUAUGUCAAAAAUGAUAUCCGUCUGUUUUUAUCCCGUUUGGACUCCGUUUGAUAUGGGGUUUAUGCGAAACAUAAAACAUGCAACAAACAGGAACUGGCACUAGGCACUGGAUCAAUAUGUUAGUCCCAAAAAUAGUAUAAAAAGUUGCCAAAAGUAUAUGAAAGUUGAAUAAUAUUGGCAUGGAACAAUCAAAAAUUAUAGAUACGACGGAGACGUAUCAUGGUACCAUUUAAUCUCUUCCUCACAUAGUAGGCGGGCAAUCUGCUCGUUAAGAUUGCUUUUUUUCUCAAUCUCAACAGCAUACAGAGGCCUCACCUCCGCUAUUUUAUCAAGGGAAUCAAUUAAAGGUAGACAAUCACUGUUUUUCUUUUUUGUAGAUGCGGCAGUAUGCUUGGCCCAUCCUCGAAGGAAUCAACGCAAGGCGCAGAUUUGUAGACUACUUUAGAUCCAGAUUUUUUGGCAGUGUGAUAAUGAAACCAAGAAAUAUAGACCGACUAGGUGGAGCGUAUUAUGCAGACCUAAAAGUCAAGGGGGUCUGGGAAUCCAAGACCUUGAGAUUAAAAACAUUACUCUUCUCAGCAAGUGGGUUAAUAAACUACUCACUGAGAAUGGAGUAUGGAAGGAAAUCAUUCGCAACAAGUAUGUGGGAUCCAAUGCCAUUUCUCAAAUUCAUUGGAAACCUGGGGAUUUACAUUUUUGAGUGGUGUCAUGAAGGCCAAGGAGCUCUUCUUCCAAUUUGGGACCUUCUCGGUUAUGGACGGUUCUCAGGUUCGUUUCUAAGAAAAUACCUGGCUAGGGAACAACUCACUAAUGGUGCAAUAUCCGAGCUUGUACCGAAUUGUCAGACAUAAAUUUGUCACGAUCAAACAAGUCUUAGGACAAGAAAUCCCUGAUAUUUCUUUUGGUAGGGAUCUUUUGGGCACUCGCCUGGCAGCAUGGAAUGAAUUACUCACUCGCCUGGAGGACAUUCAACUAUCAGAUGAGCCAGACACUUCUCGAUGGAACUUGCAUCAGAAUGGCAAAUUUUCGGUCAAAUCCAUGUAUGAUGCAAUGGUUCAUUAUGAUGUUCCAGUAGAUAACAGGAAAUUGUGGAAGCUAAAAAUUCCUCUAAGAGUGAAGAUUUUCGUCUGGUUUCUAAACAAAGGAGUCAUCCUAACUAGAGAUAAUCUGGCACGACAAAACUGGCAUGAUUCCAAGACAUGUGUCUUUUGCCAACAUGACGAGUCUAUCAAACACUUAUUUUUUGAGUGCAAGUUUGCUCGGGCAGUUUGGGCCAUGGUCCAAGUAGCUUCGAAUUUAUACCCACCACGUAGUGCACGGAAUAUUUUCGGCAACUGGUUGCGGGGUAUUGAUAAACAAUUUUCUGCACAUAUUCUUGUGGGAGCGGCGGCCUUAUGCUGGGCAAUGUGGCUUACUAGGAAUGAUGUGGUUUUUAACAAUAAAUGUGUCUCAUCUCCUAUGCAGGUUAUUCAUGUUUGUACAGGAUGGCUCCGUACUUGGUCUAUCCUGUAGAAGCCGGAGGACAGGGACCUUUUUAUGAUGGCGUCUACACGGCUGGAGCGUACGGUCAGGGAGGUUUUCUACCCCCGUAGAUGGCGGUGUGAUUUACGGAUAGGAUCUACCACUCCUUAGGAUGGACACGAUUUAUUGCUUGGCAUUGUAUCGAAUAUUUUAUUUUUAGGGUGCUCUGGACUUUUUGGCUAUGUGCAUCUAGCUAUGCAGAGGCCGGGCUUUCUUUCGAUACGAUUGUAUCACCUCGAUAUAUCUAUUCAAUGAAAAGUCCUUUGUCGAAAAAAGGUGCAUAACUCUAUUCCCUGUGAUUAUUGUCAAUAAGAGCAACCCAAUGGUUUGCCUUGCCAUGUCCUGUUCUUGUUUUGAAAGUAGUCUGCUUUGCUUAUCCAGUAUCACCAGUUAACUGGUUAGCCUGGAGCAGCUUGGUGUUGUACAUGAUGGUCUUACUGUGAAAAUGCCAAGUGUGAGAACAUUAGACUAGCUGUCCAUUUCUUGCCGGAGAUCAUGCAUUCAGGGAUGGAUCCCCUCCCUUCCUCCUCCCUCUCCUCCUCCUCCCCCUCGUCCCCUCCUCGCCCUGGGCGUCUCGCUCCCCGCUCUGUUCUGCGGGCCGGUGCUCGGCCGUCCUCUUCUCCGUGUGCAGGUGCUCCCCCUCCCCUCUCCCCGGUCUCCCCGCAGGUGGGGCUCUCCCCUCCUUCUUCUCCGCUUCCGGUGCUUGGGUCUCGCUUUUGGGCCCUUGCAUCCGAUGUGGAGGAGUCGCGGUCGUCCGCCUCCUCCCCUUGUGGUCCCGUGCCCUGUGCUGGGGGGGCGGUGGUGUCCUGUGCCGCUCCUCGCCUCCGCAAGUUCGCCCCGGGUGGCCGGGGCCGGCCGGUGGCUGCGCCUUCUUCGGGCGAUGGCUGGAUCCGAAUCUCGCGGCGGCGGCGCAAGUCUAGUAAGUUUGUUGUUGCGUCUCCUGAUCCCGGUGUCUUGGGCAGUGCGCCAGAUGGGGAGCUUGGAGGCCUCCCAUCUCCUUCUCCGACUUCCUCUCUGGCGGCCUCGUCGCCGGUGGUGUCGACGGCGGGGCCGUUGGUGGCAUCGUGUAACCUAAACCUAGAUCUCGAUUUCUCCGUGGUGGCCAUCGGGCCGCGGGCCGCUUCCUCAUGUGGGCUUGCUGGGCCUUGCGGUUUGGCGUUGCCCAGUGGGCCUACCUCUCCUCCCCUCCUCUCGUCUGUGGUCGACUUUCCCCCUCUUGUCUCGUCUGGCCCAGUCGGGCCCACCGGUCGGGUUCCUGCUCCUCAACCUCUUGUGGCCCAUCUGGUGAGUCGGGCCCAGGUGGGCACGGCUCGGACGGGAUAUUUAUGGAUCCCCCGCGGCUCAGUCUCCCCCCUGCUAGGGUUUCUGGCUUCCUCUUCCGACCUGUGUUGUCACCGUCUCCCCAUCCGUCGCCUCAUUAGAUCUUCCCCACCUCCACCCUUCCUCCUUCAUUUUGCUGCGGUGCUUUCCACGGACAAGUCGCGGGGCUCUUCCUGCGAGGCGCUCUCAGGCGGCAAGCAGCGCCGUGAGGACUCCCCUGCCUCCGCGGUGGAUCUGGAGCUCGAGGCUUCGCUCCGUUCCAAGUUGGAGGCGGAGCAGGCGGCGCGCGAGCAGGUGGCUCGUGGCCGCGAGGCUUGGGCUUCGGGUCCGGAGUGGUUGCAGCGCUCGCAGAGGGAUGGUGUGCCUGGAUCCGGCCCGCAGGGCUCUGGAUCUAGCCCUUCUCUCUGUCCGGUGCUGGAUCCAUGGGAGGCGGCGGCGGCCUCUGGCGGUGGAGUUUCCUCGUCUUCUGCCUCCCUUCCCGCUCCGGGUGUGGGGCGUGGCUCGUCUGCUCCGUCGCGUCCUCCGCCUCCUCCUCCUCCUCUCUCCAUUGGGGUUGUUGCUGGUUCUCACCCGCCGCCUCGGUCCUUCGCGGGGCCGGUCCGUCGGUCGCCCGGUCCGACCUCUGGGGCUCCCCUUUUUCGGGGAUGGGGGAUGGGAUCCUGCCUCCUCCUCCGUCGCUUUCGCAAUCUCGCCCAUCCUCUGCCUCCAAUAGCAACCCCUCGGUGCUCACCUGCUUCGCUUGCCACAGGCCUGGCCAUUUCCAGUCUCGCUGCACCAACCCUCCUUUUUGCCUGAUUUGUCGCUCUGAUGGUCACCUCAUGGUCAACUGCAUGGCUAGGCAGAAACCUCCCGCGGUCCUCCAGUUCGGCUCGGGCCUCCCUGGUUGCGCCUUUUUCGCCUUCAACGGUUAUCUGCCUGUCCGGGAGGUGGCUCCUGCUUUGUCUAAUGCUGCGAUUGUCUCGGUCAAGGACCAAAAGAUUUCGCCCCAAACUCUUCUGGAAGGGCUCCGCAUUUGGGAUGAGGCUGGAUGGGACUAGCAAGUUGUGCAGAUGUCUGACUAUGAGUUCUCUGUGGUGUUUCCCUCCAAAGAAUGUUUGCGGAUGAUUGCCUCAUGCACUAGCUUCACCUUGCCCCUCAAUCAAUUGGUGGUUUCUGUCAAAGCGGCUUCUUGCAAUGGUACGGCAGUUGGUCCGUUAUCCCAAGUUUGGGUUCUGAUUGAUGAUUUGCCUGUCGGUCUCCGCUCACCUGCUUUUCUCAUGUCCUUCGGGGUUUUGAUUGGGAAGCCCAUUGAGGUGGAUGAGGAAUCUCUGAACAAGGUCGGCCCUGCUAGGAUGAAGGUUUGGUGUGUGGAUCCUGAACGGGUGCAUGGCUCAAUUGAUAUUUUCCCCUCUCACAAUGGUAUUAGGCUUCGGGUGCGGGUGGAGGGGGCGGCCGCUUUUCAUGCCCCACCUUCCCCUCCUCCUCCUUCUAACCCUAAGGACAAGCAUGAUAAGGAGGGGGACGGAUCUUUGGGUGGCCCUAAUCAGAGUUUUGGGUCUAACCUCCGCUUCGCCCAAUCUGAAUGGGACGGUCUGGCAGAUUUUGAACGUGAGCUGUUUCAAUCCCAAGCUCCUUCUGGUGGUGCUCCUCAUGAUGACUCGGUGAUCCCGCCUGCGGCUCCGUUUGUUCCUGCUGCUGAUGCUGAUUUGUCGAAGUUUCCGCCCUGCUCUGCUACCCCCGUUUCUGGUGCCUGCUCCAAUCUCCCUGUUCGUCCGCUCUCCCCCACUCGUUCGGGAAUUGAAGAUCUCCCUGUCUCCCCGGUUCGUGAUGUGGUGGAAUCCCAGUCCCUCCGGAAGAAGAAAUCCUCAGUGCGCAAAUUCUCGGCUAAGAGCCGGAACUCGUCGGGCUUGAAGCAAUCCAUGGCGGGGUUCUGUCGGCGUCUGGAUCAAGAUUUGGGAUCUAUGUCCCGCUCGGGUCCCCAUGGUGGCUCUCCUGCUGCGCGGUCGCCUGCUAUUCGAUCUCCGGUGUCCAUGGCUCGCAAAGGAAGGCGGGUGGCGAGUUCUGGUGGUUCUAUCCUGGAGCGGGCUGAGAAGCGGGCUGCGGCGAAGGAUCUCCCUCCCCCAGGUACUUCUCCCAUCCCCUCUGUUGUUGCUUCUCCGGUGCGGUUGGUUCUACCUUCUCUUUCCAAUGAUCACCUUUUAAAUAUCAUGUCGGAUGUGGGUGUGGUGGUUGAUUCUUCUGUUGGUUCUCCUAGUUCGCUACUUGCUAUUAUUCGGGCUAACGAGAUGGCUCAGGCAGCCAUUGCCUCUCUGAUAGGGGAUGCUAGUUGUGGUCCGGGUGUGGACACAGGUGCUGGUAGUGGCCAGCCCCAAUCCAACUUAUCUAAGAGGGGCACCAAUAAGCAAGCUAAAUCCUGCAUGGCCCCUUGCAGGUCGAGUCUCCGAAUCAAGAAUCUUUCUUAUAAAUGAGGGUGUUAUUCUGGAAUAUUAGGGGGUUCGGUGCUAGGGGGCGCCGUGACCAACUUAAAGAGUUGGUUCAUUCUAAUUCUAUUGACUUUGUGGGGCUGGUUGAAACCUUCAAGGAUUCCUUCUCCCCUAAUGAUUUCUCUGCUAUUGUGGGCAUGGACAUAUUUAAUUGGCAAUUUUUACCUGCUUCGGGUCACUCUGGUGGGAUAUUGAUUGGCUCCAAUAAAGAUAUUUUUGAUUUUGUUGCUUUUGAUCAUGGGAUCUUUUGGGCCAGUGUUGUUCUAUCUCAUAAAGCUAUGAAUAUUCUCUGUGAGUUUAUCGUUGUUUAUGGGUCUGCAGACCAUUCUUUGUCGGCUUUAUUCCUUAAUGAACUUUCGUUGAAGAUCGAUUCUUGUAACUUACCGAUGGUUAUCGGGGGAGACUUUAAUCUUAUGCGGUGCCCUAAUGACAAUAGUAAUGAUAACUUCUCCUGGCCUCUGGCUAAUGCCUUUAACGACUUCAUUAGUGCUAAUGCUAUUCGUGAGCUUCCCCGGGGGGAGCCCGCUAUACAUGGUCCAAUCAUCAGGCUAAUCCUAUUAGAUCUGUGCUUGAUAGAGUCUUCCUGUGUCCCAGUUGGGAUUCCUUGUUCCCUAGGGCUUCUCUUAACGCCAAAUGCAUUAUCGGUUCUGAUCGUACCCCUUAAUUCUUGACGACGGUUCCAUUAGCCUUAGGCCUCCAGCUAGAUUUCAAUUCGAUGCCUCUUGGCUGUCUGUGGAGGGCUUUGGUGACAUGGUUGCAGCGAAGAUUUCCCUUUCUCUCUCCUCCAAUGCUCGCUCUUUUGGGCCUAUGGAUGAUUGGCACUCGUGCUCCUAUACCCUGCGUAAAUUCCUCAGAGGUUGGUCUCGUAAUCGUGCGGUGGAGGAUCGUCGUACCAAAUCUUUCCUCGAGGACCAGAUUUUGUCGCUGGAUCGCGCGGCCGACUCUACUGGGCUUUCUGACGAUGGUUGGGCGGUUCGCUAUAAUCUUGAGGCCGCUUUAAUGCAGUUGCACCACCAGGCUGAGAUUUAUUGCCGUCAGCGGGGUACUCUAAACUGGACUCUAAAAGGUGACUCCCCUACGGCGUAUUUCUUUGCGAUCGCGAACGGUAGGCAUAGGCGUUGUAGUAUCAAUAGCCUGCUGAUUAAUGGUGCGCGAUCUUCGGAGCAGUCUGCUAUUAUGGCUCAUGUGGUGGAUUUUUUUUCUUCGUUGUUGGGGGCUAAACCUCAAUUGGGCUUCUCUAUCUCUCCUUCCCUUUGGGACUUAGGUCUUAAAAUCUCACCCGAGGAGAAUGCCUCCUUGAUGAUCCCUCUUUCUGAUCAGGAAAUUUGGGAGGUUGUUAACACUGCCAAUCCCAAUGCUGCUUCUGGGCCAGACGGCUUCUCCAUCCCUUUUUUCCGGAAUUUUUGGCCCCAGUUGAAACAGCUGGUUUGUAAUGUUAUCCAGGGUUUUUGUCUUGGUACUGUCGAUAUCUCCCGCCUGAACUACGCAGUGAUAUACCUGAUCCCCAAGGUUAAGGGUGCUGAUGUUAUUUCCCAAUUUCGGCCUAUUGCUUUGAUUAACAACUUUGCCAAAUUCAUGGCUAAAGGCUUUGCAAAUCGUUUUUCGCCGGUUGCUCAUAGAGUUAUUAGUCCUUAUCAAUCUGCUUUCAUCAAAGGGCGUUUCAUCCUCGAUGGUAUCCUAUCCCUUCAUGAGAUUGUGCACGAUCUUCACGCUCGGAGAGCUAAAGCGAUUAUCCUUAUGUUAGAUUUUGAGAAAGCUUAUGACUCGGUUAGCUGGCCCUUUCUCAAGCAGGUCCUUCUUGCUAAAGGUUUUGACGGUGCUUAUGUUCAUCGUAUCAUGCAGCUGGUCUCGGGUGGCCAUACUGCCGUUUCGGUUAAUGGUUUCGUUAGCAAUUUCUUCGUUAAUGGUAGGGGCCUGCGCCAAGGGGAUCCUACUUCCCCUGUUCUUUUUAAUUUUGUGGCUGAUGCCUUCUCGUGCAUGCUCUCCAGGGCGGCCCGUUGUGGGCACAUUGCUCCUGUGGUCUCCCAUUUACUUCCGGAGGGUGUUUCCCACUUGCAAUAUGCGGAUGAUACUAUUAUCUUGGUGGAGUUGGAUGACGCCUGCAUUGCUAACCUGAAAUUCAUCCUGCUGUGUUUCGAAGCGGUUUCGGGUCUUAAGAUUAAUUUCGCUAAAAGUGAGGUCCUGGUGACGGGUGUGGAUGGGGCGGAAGCGUUGCGGAUUGCCAGGCUCCUUAACUGUUCUUUGGGUUCCUUUCCCUUCAAGUAUUUAGGCCUUCCUAUUUCUCCUAGCGUGCUCCAUGCUAAAGAUUUCGCUCCGGCGGUCGCUAAAGUGGGGAACAGGGUGCUCCCUUGGAGGGGCAGAUACAAUACCAAUGCUGGCAAAGUUGCUCUAAUUAACUCCUGCUUAUCCUCUCUCCCCAUGUUUCUUAUGGGCUGUUAUCUUCUUACGGAUGGCGUGCAUGCUGGCUUUGACAAACAUAGGGGAGCUUUCUACUGGAAUUCCGCGGAUAACAAACGGAAAUAUAGGAUGGUCAAGUGGCAACAUAUGUGUAAGCCUAAAAAACUUGGGGGGUUAGGCAUUAUUAAUACUCGGGUAAUGAACAUUUGUCUGCUUAUCAAGUGGUGGUGGAAAAUUUUGACUAGUGGGGCCGAUUCGCUGUGGUUUUCGAUUCUUAAGGCUAAAUACUUCCCUCACUCCAACCUUCUGUUUGCCACCGCCAGGCGCGGGUCUCAAUUUUGGAAAUCCCUUGUCAAAGUCAGACCGAUCUUUCUGGAACAUGUCAAAUUUAAUGUUGGUAAUGGGUUGGCUGUUCGCUUUUGGUUGGACUGGUGGUCUGGGGAUGCCCCCCUUGCUGCGAGCUUUCCGGUUCUGUUUUCCUUUUGUCCUAAUUCGAAUAUCUCCAUCGCGGAGGUGGCAGCUAAUAAUUGGGAUUUGGCUUUUCGUCGGGCCCUGUCUCCUGAAGAGUUGGAAGAUUGGCAAAGUCUCUCUGCCCUCUUCCCCGUGCUCUCGGAGUCGGCCGAUUCUGUGGUGUGGCCUCAUUCGGCCUCAGGUAGAUUUUCGGUCAAGUCGCUGUAUUCUAGACUUAUUGGUGGUACUCCUUCGUCCAGAUUCUCUUGCGUUUGGAAGUCCAAAGUCCCUCCUAAGAUUAAAAUUUUCCUUUGGCAAGCCUUUCGUGGUCGCCUUCCGGCUGCUGACCAGAUCAAAAAGCGCAAUGGGCCUGGUUCGGAGUUUUGUCAUCUUUGUGGGGCCUUGGAGAACUCUGAUCACAUCUUUUUCAAUUGCGUGCUGGCCAAGUUGGUUUGGUGUUGUGUUAGAUCUUGGCUUCAGGUCUCUUGGAACCCCUCCUCUUUUACCCAUAUUCGAACCCUAGCCAAAGCUUUGGUUGGGGUCACCAAGAGGGUGUUUUGGGUAGGCCUGGGAGCCUUAUGUUGGGCUCUUUGGACCAUUAGGAACAAAUUUACUAUUGAGCAUAUCUUCCCAUCUAAGCCUGCUGACGUUCUUUUCAAAUCAUGUAUAUUAUUGCAGCAGUGGAGAUCAUUGACUAAGGAGGUUGAUCGGGAUGCCCUGGACCUGCUCAUCGUCAAAAUUCGGGCUUCGGCAUCUCUCAUCUCCGGGCGGGAUCCCGUCGUCUAAUCCUGGUGGUGCUGUUUGCGGAGUUUAGGUCUCUCUCCUUUCCGGCCUGCGCGCCGUGUAUGGCAGUUGCCUGUAUCCUUUCCCUCUUUGGUUACUCUCAAACUAUUCGCUUUGUGCACUCUGUGCGUUGUCUUGUUAGCUGGUUUCGCUCCUGUUUGGUUUCCUGUGACGCUGCCUUGUGGCUUUAUUUAUAAAGUCGGGCUCUGGCCUUUUCUCUAAAAAAGAUGAUGUGCUAGAGACAUGCUUCUGUACUGCCUUGCUGUAAACAAGAUGGUGUUUAUUGUAUUGUCUUUUGAUGCACAUUUGGUGUAUCCAUGGAAGCUAUGGUCUUCUGAUCUGCUGGUGUCAUGUACACAGAAGGUGAACUGUCUUCACUUAAAUUCAAGUACUAAAAACUUUUGUGACUUGCCAUGGCAACAUAAGCCAACUUAGCCUGACAAUAAACAACGAACCAACAUCAACAUGAAUAUGAGGUAAACUCAUAUUCUUAGUUGUGCUAUGAUCGAACUAACUGGUGCCUAGGCAACAAAACAAAUUAGAAUCCAGCAGCUAAUCCACCCUAGUUGUGAGUAAUUCGUUAACCGAAAGCAGUUUCCUGGAGGGGAGUAGUGUCUCAUGCUCCCAGCAAUCUACAGCUUCUAGAAAACAAAUCAUGGCACAGUCAAGAGAGUCCUGAAACGAAGAUGUGUUAACCUACACCUGGUUGCCACAGCUGUUAACAUUGGCACAGCACCAAAAAGCCACAGCAGGCAUGAUCAUCAGCUCCUCACGACAUGUAGGGCGAGCUAUGAGCUCCCGGGAAUAAAUGGCAAAGAUUUACAUGCAAUGGGCAAUGCUGGUUCCAUGGACAUCCCUUCCCUGCCGGGCUGCAUUCCCGAAACAAGUUUUAUGUUGAGAUCAAGAAAAGCAAAAUUUACACCACUAACAGCAGCAGCAGCAGCAGCAACAGCAGCUUCAGUGCUGUCGCUCAACGACAUCCCUGGGCGGUGUUUGCACAAGAUCACUAUCAGCAGGAAGAUCGUCGCAACCCGCUCUCUCGAUGCUAUCGCCUCUCACCCAGUUUCCUUUUCUUCUUGCUUUGCACGGUCUCUCCAUGGCGCCUGCAUCACACACAAACACGCCGUAACUGCAUAGCGACGAACCUCAAGAAAAGCAGCAAGGUUUCGGAAAAAGUAUAUACAGCAAGUUCCAUCAUAAGAUUGAACUUUGGACUCACCCAUCCUGCAUCUGCUUCCGUUUUCUCUUGACGCUAUUCGGCUUUGCCUCAUCUUUGCCGCCCCGCCUGAACACCUCAGAAUCACUAGUGCUGCCGCCGCCACCAUCCGUGGCACAUUCCCUCGACAGCGCGAGUCUAUCAAGAACGGAUACGGAUGCAUCGACUGAGGUUUCUUCUGACCGUGAUUUGAAAUCCUCCAGCAAAACAACACCUGGAGAAGCACAAGCGUACGCAUGUUGCUCAGCAAAGAGAUUGCUGCAGCCAUGUCACAUGUGAUGGAAGACGCCGAUCAAAAUUCACAAGGCUGGUAUUCAAAUUUGUCCCUUGGUCGCUCGAAUUUCGGAGCAUCGAGGAUAACAGCAGGAACAGAUGAGCGUCGCUGUAUACGAUGGGUGUCUGGCAAAGUGGUUCAGGUAGUACGUACUGAGGGCACGCAGCGUGCGCAGAUCGAACCCGGCGGCGAGGUGGGGGCGACCGGCCGUCUCCGCCAGCUUCACGGCCAGCAGCUUCAGGCUGACGAGGAGAUCCUGCACAACACCGCCGUGGCGCCGUCAACACCUGUCGUCAGGAAGAGAAGCUAUAGUAGAAAAUAAGAGGAGGGCAGGGGGCGUCACGGACGAGCUCUGGCUCGGAGAGGGCCGCGAGCCACCGGGGCUCCGGAGGUGGGGUUUCGCCGGCGGCGGAAGGCGCCAUGAGGGAGUGGGGAGAGAAGAUGGGGGCGAUGUGUUUUUUUUUUCUUUUCUUUUUUUGCUUUUUUUGGGGGUAUUAUUAUUUUUUGCUUUUUUAGGGUAAAGCCAAUUUUAUAUUGAUCAAAGACCAUACUACCUCCGUCUCGGUGAAUAAGUCAUCCGCGUAGUUCUAGGUUGACGAUUUAACUAUCUAAAUAUGUAUUGUAUGUGACAAAAAAUAUAUAUAUUUAGAAACUACAUCCUUGUAGAAAUCUAGUGAUAUACUUUUCAUGACAUAUAAUACAUAUUUAAUUGCUCAAAUCGAUGACCUAGAACUACGUAAAUGACUUAUUCACCUAGACGGAGGUAGUAGUUAGUUGGAUUCAAUCCAGGUCGUGUGGUUGGUCAAACCACAUGACGGCGCUGAGAUAAAGAAAGAGAAAAGCUCGCUAAAUUAUGUGCGUCGAGAUUAACAACACGACCUACCAAAGUAAAGUUACAAUUAAAAGAAGCUGCUCUGCUUUUGAUCUCCUUGAUGAUGGCACCAACUCUACCUUGGCUCUUCUCAAAAAAAAAAAACUCUACCUUGGCUACAUUGCCUAAUAUCGUCCACUUGCUUGGAAUCAGAUGUUAUGAUAAAUUUGUGUAGAUGGAGGUCUCCCGCUAAUGAUGGAACUUCACGGCAAGUCAUGGCCUCCAGCGUUGUUUGGUCACGAAAACACCUCCAAUGACUAGGCUUCUUCUCAUGAAUAAUUUGGACAUCAAUGCACCUUGUGACAAAAGAACGCGAUGCAGACGGGCUUUGAAAGAUCCUUUCGUGAAUGGCCUUUCGAUGUGCCGACCAAAUGGCCCAGAGAGUAACUUCCAUCUUUACGAGCUGCUCAUGUGAUAAUGAUUCGAGUGGAGAGAAGAGACAUUGCCGGCACCAGUGUGGGAUGAUGGUUCGUGAGAGACGGUGGUUGGUGGUCUUGCCGGCGCCAAUGUGGGAUGAUGUGCAACGAGGUGGUGUGGGAGCUUGGGUGAAGACCCUGUAUCGGCCAUUGUGCCAUGACCAACAAUGGUUGCGGUUGUGGCCAUCGUUGACCUUUCUGUAGGCAUCGGUGUUGUGGUGUCGCACACCUUCCGCGGGGACCCGACUAUCGUGGCCUCUUCAGGGGAAACCCUUGAUCUUGUGAUCGGACGAUGACAGCGCCUGGGUGUGUAAUUUUUGUUAGAAGGGAGAGAGAGGUUUGGUGGAAUAGUUGUUCAUUGUAUUGCUUGAGCCUCGUGGGCAUAUAUAUAGGAGUACAUGAUCUACUUGGAGUACAAGACAAGACAGAAUACUUCCUAGUUUAUCCUAUGUUUCCUAAUACAAUCACGUUACUCAACAAUUUUCCCUCUUGGGGGCUUCGUCUUGAGCUUGAUGACAUCACUUGGGUGUGUAAUUUUCCCUCUUGGGGGCUUCAUCUUGGAGCUCGACAUCGGCAAGCAGGACCGAUGGUUAGCGGUGGUGGUAGCGUCGAAGCUUCUGUGGCAACAACGAUGGUGGGAGCGAUGUCGGUGAAGCGCCUAUGUUUGCGGUAGUCGACUCUUCUUGGACGUGUUCGGAGGAUUGUCUUCGUAAUUUGUUUGUUGUUGUAGAGUCAAAGAUGCGGCGGCAGGACCCUGUUGUGUACGAUGACCGGCCUGGUUUUGUCCUUUAGAGUUCCCCAUCAAAGUCUGGUCGCAGGUGGCUUUGUUUUUGCCCAGAUUUCUCGACCUGGCUACAUGGACGAUACUUAAUGGCCGUGGGCAAUCUAAUUUUCGCUCAGUUUUCUAAUUAACUAAGUGUUAUGACCGGUUUGGUCUAUACCAGGAAAAGUCUCACCGGACAUUAGUAUUAAGGGCUUGACCCACAAGUUAUAAAUACUAGUUGUAAGACAUCGUUUGAGAGCAAGCAAUAAAGAUAUUAUCAUCUUCUGUUGCCCGGCUCCCUGAGGAGCCGGAACCCUAGCCGCCACCAGCCAACCGCCGCCGCACCUAAACCCUAGCUGCGACGGCGCCUCAUAGCCGGCGCGCCCGCUCCAGCCCUCGUCUCCCUCCUCCCUGCCCAUACAAUCUACGCCGAAGGCCCGGUAGGAACCCUAGUCCUACCACUAAGCAAUUCUUUUUCUUCUUGAUAAGCAAAGUUCAUCUCCACCCUAGGGACGCCCCAUUAGUGACAACAGAAGCAAGUUCCUUUAAAAGGAAAACAGAUGGCAAUGGAAAACCAGUGUUUUGAGAAUACUGCAACAAGUAGACUAACACAAUAACAGUGAAGAUGAUGCGCCAAAAACUAGUAUUACACACCCAAAAGGUUCGGGGCCGAAUCAGGUACAUAUCCACAAGGACCAAAAUUGGAGCAAGUUUGGGGGUACAUAUCCGUUCCGUUCACAUAAACAUGCGCGGCAUUAUUGCUCAAUCCUAAGAGCUUCAACCAGAGUUCAUUCCGGAGGUUAAACACACCCAUUUUCACAAAAACUCGCGAAGAUACCGUCUAGUAGGGCUCCACCGGUGCGCGGAACUUGAG
rnacentral:lncRNA from 1 species